CAGAAAUCAACUAGAAUUAAAUCAUAGGUAACUCAAACUUUGGUAGAAGAAGAAUGCCAAUAACAUGAUUUUAAACAAGCUUCAGGAGCUUAAUACUUAUCUCAAUCACAGUAUUUAUGUUAUAAAAUUUCCGGCAUGUUUUGCAACAAGAGUUGAACAACUGAUCGGAAACAUACCAAUUUCUAAGUGUGAAUUGCUUGGUAUGCUGUUGAUUACACCAGGAUGCAGCUCCAGGAUGCCUUAGAAACAGGAUAUAUUAAGUUACAUCAAAGUUCUAAGAAAGAAAGAUAGCCAAAUCAAAGUUAGAUGUAAUCUAACUCAAGAUGGAUUUAAGGAAUAUGUACCAAUAAAGUCUUACGUUUAGGCAUUCAGGAAGAUGAAUUACCGACUAUACCAACGGUAUCAAUGGAUCCAGAUUCUAGAACAUGUUUCUCCACAGCUAGCGCCAGUUCUGCAGCAGCCAGACCGGCAUAGUUCCUGCUCAUUACAUGUAAAACAUUAUGAAUCUUGUUGACUGAAUAAGCAUAAUAAAAGAAUCAUAAUGAUGAAUAUACUAAAUUGAUGAAAGAUAUGUAAAUGUAGCUGUACACAGGCAGACAUCAGUUACCUAUUUGGCAUCAAGAUAGCACCCGCAUGCCCUCCAUUGCCUUCAAAAUCUACAUUUAUACUUGCAGGAGCUGCAAUGGCAGUCACUAUUCCAAUUGAUGUACCUGACUUGAAAUAUGAAGUGGAUUAAUAGCCAUCAAUAAAUAGAGAUCAUGAGGAUAAAAUAAGCAGUAAAAAAGACAAACCUUCUUCCUCCAGAAUAGGUCCCUGCUCCAUAUGCAAUUCAACAAAAGCAGAGUAACUUCCUUUCUUCAAAAAUACAAUCGAUAGGACAUUGCGCUCUUUUGCAUAUGCACCAGAUCUUGCAGCAUCUAAAAAGGAUAUAUUUUGACCAUCAACUGCUGAUGUCAGAUCUUUUGCCAAUGACUCAAUUCCUGCCAAUAAGAGACUGCAAAACAAAAAUAAACAUAUGAACUUAUACUAUAGUAUAAGAUUUCCAAACCCAUACACAGUCCGCCAUGUCAAGACAUAACAUGUUGAAGUUUAAUGUACAGUGAAAGUGGUUGCUAUAAAGUUUGCAAAGAUAAGUAAAAGAAAGCUUCAGAGAAAAGUAUCUUUCCUUCUUUUUGUAUGGACAAAAAUUAAGAAAGGAAAGCAGCCAAAUAAUCCCAAGUGCGUAUACUGAGUUACGAAGUUUUAACUAUUUACAAGUGGCUAACGUUCCCAAACAACUGAUCCAUAACGUGUGGACUCUUCUGAGGUGAACACGAUAACCUCCAGUGACCUUCUAGUCUUGAAUCCAGAUCUGUUAAAGACCCAGUCAACAUAGCAUAGACCAAAAACUGUGGCUACUACACAAUACAUUUAUCUGAAAAAAACUUAGAUAUAAUGAAAAAGAAAUUAGCUGGAAACCAAAAGCACAAACAAUACCCUAGACUGGAAAACUCAGAGACAAAAAAAAAAUUAUUAUAUCUAUAUCUCCAAGACACCGCUUGAGCAAGGAAUAUCUGAGUAUGUCCUGAUUCAAUUUUGACAUCAUCUGACUACAGCACCGGUGAUCUAACUGAAGGCACUCAACGUCUAAAAGUUCAUAUAUUCAUGAAUAAAGUUAUGCAUGUCGAUUGCAUUUAUUGCCAUCAAUUUGCAAAAAGAAAAUUUUUCAGUGCUAAACCAGAAUGCUAAUCAACCCUCAAAGCAAACAUAAGUGGCAAUUUAUAACCACAUAUUUCUGAUUCAUCAGAGCCUACCAAUAAAAUCAAUCAAGUAUUCCAUACCUUUUUAGCACAUUAAUGCCUUCUAUUGCACCUAGCACACCAACCAAUAUUUGCUUAACUCUGCGUUUUAUCAGGGACAUCAUACUUCAGAGUUUUAUGAGGAACUAGCAAAGAUAAUCUUGUGCUUUAAUGAUUUUUUGGAGUCGGUCAAUGUUUUUUAAAGCAUGAUUAGCAUAUCUUCUGUUCAGCUAAAAAGAAAAUGGUGGAUAUUAUAGGCAUUGAUUGAUUACAUGAAUCUUUUGUGAACUCAUUAAUCAUAUUCUUUAAAUUUCAUGAUACUCUGGCUCAUUAUUCAUCUGAUGCUGCAUUUUCCUUCUGGGAUUUUGCUUAAUCUUCUUAAUGGCAUUGCAGAGGUACAUAAAGCAGUACAAUGACAUUGAGCUCACUGCCUCGGGAAUGGUACAAUUUCUUGUAACCAUCUCCUCUGUUUUGCAUAUUUUUUUAUUAUUUCCUUUUCUUUUAUUCUUUGGUGCACAGGAACCCCUUUUCAAUUUCUACUUCAAAUUAUAUCUAGUGGAUAGUUUUUCUUAUUGUUUUUUUUAAUUGAAUUUUCAAACCAUAACUUCUUGACAGAAAAAGAAAUUGUUCUUCCAAAUAUUAGUAUGAUUUUGGUGGUUUUGACCUACACCAUGUGACGAUGAUUUGAUUUCACUAGAAUGUAAGUAAUAAAUCAGUGCACUAGUUCUAUUGAUUGCAUUGUUCAUUUUGGAUAUUAUGAUUGAUUUUCCAAUGAAAAAUUAAGAUCAGUGAGGUCAGCACAAGGAGCCGUAUCUGUCAGAAACUUCUGUACAAGAUAAUAAAUGUAUCCUCCUUAAACUUGAAAUGCAGAUUCAUGCUAUUACAGCACACCCAAGAGACAGUUCAUUGCUAUUAUAUCCUUCACCCUGGAACAUAUUUUAUAACAAUAUGUGCUGACUUCUACAAGUGUUUAAUGCAGCUGUUCCUACUGUUGUCAUAAUUGCUGAGGCUCUGAAACGUGAUGGACUGGCAAGUAGUAAAGGUAAGAGGUUAAAGCCAUUUUUGUUAACAUCUUUUGUUGUUAGCAAAUUAAUUAGAAUGACAUAUCUUCUGAAAAAUGCAACAGAGGUAAAGAUUUCUACUGUGAACUCCAAGAAGGACGAUGAAGGCCGCUUCUUUCAGAAAGCUAAGGUUGGAUUGUUUGCAUUGGCAGCUGGCCUUUGUCUGUUUUACUAUUCACAAUUUUAGUUACUUUUUACCAGAAACAGUUUCGUCUUAUCUAACUUUUACACAGUCUCUCAGAUUCAAAUUGUGCUGGGAAAGGCUGAAAAACUUGAGAAAGCCGUUGUUGCUGCUACUGCUCCAAAGGAGACUUCUGAUACUGAUAUGAAGGCCUGAAGGGCAGUUAGAUAAGAGCUUAAUUUCUGUAGUUUUCUGUAGCAUAUGUUUUUUCCUUAGUCUUACAUUUGUCAAUGGAAAUAUUUUUGAGAUUAAAGGUAGUAGUUGUUUUUCCAGUUGAUGUUGGACCUGCUGCUAACAUGACCAUGUAAUAAGGUUGGAGUAAAGACUUGUUUUGUAAGGGCAGAUCUAGUGAUACCUGGGCAUCUUCCUGUAUAUGUCCUUUUUUUCUUUUCUUUUUCUUUUUUUUUCAUUUCUAGUGCACCUGAGACUAAAAUGUUUUGGCAACGUGCUUCUGUCCAUGUUAAAUGUUGUAACGUUUCAAUUUACUGCUGGGUUGACAGAAAUACAAAUUCAUUUUUCCCCUCUCCCUCUCUGUCUCAGAGCACAAAAAUCAUCUCCACUUUAGGUUAGUUGAUUUUGCAAAUAUAACAGUUCCAAUUGCAUCUUUAGCUGCAAGUGAUGGCAUCAAUGAAACAUAUGAUUUGUUAGUAUGCUAGAAGGAAAAUGAAAAAAGGCUGUUUGUUUUGCAAAAGCUUUUUUAAUGAUGUCAAUAUUAGCUCUGACUAUGCAGACAUGUUCAAGAGGUUUGUGACAGAUUGCUAGUUGAGAGAAGAUUUCUUAUCUGUUUGCCAACAGUUAUCACUAUGCUGUUUAAUAUUUAUCAUUCCAUGUCAGGAGAAGCUUGAAUUUCCAAGAUGAAUAAUUUCAAUUUACUAUCACUUAUUUUGAUAUUUACUCAUCAAGUUAAUGAAUGGAUCUCUCUAUCAAGUCAUAUCCGAGAUGAAAUGCAUAAAGUGAGUGCAAUGGCACGAGGAAAGAAGAAUGUACACCUAUAUAUAAGUAGCUGGUUACAAAAACUACAAACAAAUGAUCAAUACAGGGAUUAGAGGCAUGUUUCUCUGCCUAUGGCUGUACCUGAAAAUGAAAAUUGGAUGGAAAUAUAUAUAUGAUUUAAGGAUGAAAUCUAACAUUUCAAAGAUACAAAUAAUGUGGCACAGGGCUUUCUUUUAUUAUUAUCAUUUGAGUGUCCUGUUAGUUACACAAUAGUGUUAAAAUCAUAUAACGAACUUGUACGCUGGGGCCAGUUGCUCUAACGGACAAUUAAAAUCUUCCCGCUAAAGUAACUAACAAGAAACUGAUCCAAAUGAAACACAGCCACACGUCCAUUUCUCAUUGGAUCAACGCCUCUAUAUAGCACCGACCUCCGGUCACAACUGACUCCUCCUCCAAAAUCUCAUCAAAAACUUUCCAGCCAUUUCCAAGCAUUGUGAAGGCAACUGAGGUUGCGGAAGAGGCCAGAGAUUAUUGUUGAAUCCAGAAACAAGGAGGGCAACAGCAAGAAAGCAGAAGUUGGUUUCUGAAGAUGAUACAAGAAUUAAUUUUGCUAGUGGCAUUUGCAUUGUUUCUUGGUCGAGUAAUUAAAGAUGUUUAUAGAACAAUAAGAAACGAAUUCAGAAGAAGAAGAAGAGGGGGAUGAAGAGGAAGGAGAUAAGGAUGAGCAAUCUAAUUCAACCCUUCAUCCUCAAGAAAACUUUCGUUUUCUACUGGAGUCUAGCUAAGGUAUACACUUAAAAUCUCCUGUUCAAAAAAGUUUCUUAGGUUAAAUAUAGUUGAUGUGUUUGUUUGGUUGCCAAGAUUUUGUGGAAAGGAAAAUGAGCUAAUGAAGCUUUAUGUGUUAUUUUUUCAUGGGUUUAGACUUGUUUCUGAUAUAUAUGAUGCGAUCUUGUUUUGAUUUAUUAACUAAUUUGGGUGUCAAUAAAUUAUGUUUUCAAAUUUUAUAAAACUUGAAUUUGCUUAAUGAUCUGACGGUCUUUGUUUCUUGGUAGGUUCUGGACUUCUAGUUCUAAUCUUGAUUUAGUUAUUCAUGAUUGUUUCAUUAAAAGGGGGAGGUUUAUUGGUUCUUUGACUCAAUAGCUUUCAUUAACUUGUAUACAAUUGUUUGAAUAUAGAUUUGGUAUCUCUACUAGUAUUCUUCAUCUAUGCCAAUUUGAGGUGAUAUUCCUGUAGCAACUUCAUAAUGGAUAUUAUGCACUGAUUCAUGACUUGUCACCUUUCAUUAAUCUGGAUUCCUUAAACUGAUUUUAUUAUGCUUUCAUUGUGCAUCAGAAUCAGAUUAUGGAUUUUUCCUUAAUGGGGUUUCUUUUAUCUUAUCAACGUAUUGCAGAUGUAUUUAAAGGACUAUAAUGAUGCUGAGAUCUCUGACUUUGGCUUCGGUGAAUUUUCUUCAUCAUUUUUCCUUAUUGUCAUUAUUCUUUCGUUUAUUUCCUUCCUAUUUUCCCAACCUUUAUUCCUUUUUUCACUUUUUGUUGCAAAGUGAGUCUAACUGGUGAUUUUCCAAAUGAUUGCUCAUCUGGAAAAUUGCAGACCUUUCACACCUGCUUGCUGGUCAUUUAUGCUUAAACAUUUCUUUUGAAAUAAUUCUAAAUACAAUCCGUUGCCAGAAUAAACAUUUUAACCUUGCAAAUACGAAUGGCAUGAGUUUGAUGGUUAUAUAUAUUGCAUCCCGCUGUAUUUGAUGAUGAGUUGAUUCAUAAAUGCUGUUAAUUUGAUCAAUAGAAUAGUAGUAAUGAGCUUUCACAUAGAUAAUUGAGAUCAAUGAGGUCUAAUAUUCUAGAAAAUUCAGAGUUAUUUUCUGUUAACUUGAAUCUCAAGUCAUCAAUGAGAAAGUAUUAGUCAGAAUGACUCGUCUUCGUUAGUGUAAUUAUUGCUGACUGUUAGUGUAAUUAUUGCUGACUACUGGCUUUACUUGAUUCAACUAUUGCUGCUGUUAACACAAUUUCCAUCAUUAUGAAGGAAAUGGAUUGGUAAAUAAUAAAGGUCAACAAAUGGUCAUAGCCUUUGUAUGCUUAUUAAACAUCCUCAAUUAUUCAUAAAUUACUUUUAACUACAUGUUUCAAGAAAUGCUAGAGAUAAAGAGAUAUUUAUAGUACAAAUAAAGGAGGACAGUGAAGGUCACUUUGUUAAGAAAGCUGAGGUUAGAUUGCUUGCAUUUUGUUGAGUUCUUGUUCGUUUUACUUAUUGUAGUUUUAGCUAAUCAAUUUCACUAUUAUCAGUUUCAUCUUUCACUGCUUCUUAGAUUCGAACUGCGACAGUAAUGGUUGAGAAACUCAACAAGAUCAUUGCUGUUUCUACAGCACCAAAGAAGGCUGCUGAUAAGGCGGCUUGAAGACAUAGGAGUUUCAUUUAUAUGGUCCUAAAAUGUAAUAAUUAUUUUCCAGACUUUAAGAAGGUUUCGGUAGAGAGAUAAUCGGAUGAAGAUUAUCAAAGUGCUACUUUCAAGCUGCUGCUAGCAUGACCAUGCAACAGAGUUGGAGGAGAGCCAGUUUGGUGGAGCAGAUCCGAUUGUGUUUGGCACUAAUGUGUCUUCCUUUGUUCACUUUAAAAUUAUGAAUGUCGUUUUAAUCAAACUUAUGGUACUGCUUUUCAUGUUAGAUACAGGGGCACUUUAUUUUCCAGGAGAGUAAUAGGAACAGAUAUACAAAGUAUCAUAUGUCUCUCUUGUGCUCUCUCUCUCUCUCACAUACACAAACACACACAAAUACAUGCAUAUACAUAUGUAGCACACACAAUGUUAGCAAGUUGACUGCACCCUGAGAUCGGCUAAUCUUAUCAAUGCUUAAGUUUAUCCCUAGUUGCAAGUUGGGAUAAGAGCCAGAUGAAUUUGUUAGCAUGAUAAUGAAUGAUUUAUAGCCUAUUUAAUUUCCUGUGAUCUUAGGUACUAUUGUCAUCGAAUCAGUAGUUGACGGUUUUAGAUGAGAAGAAAAGUGGUCUACCUGUUGUAACAUGGAAUGAACAUCAUGCCCAUUAGAGAUACCCUGCAAUGCAAGGAUGUGAAAAUGUAUUUAUUAGAAUUUAGGAGCAGUUUACCGUUAAGAAAAACACUAAGAACAGUAAAUUUGUCUUCAUCAUUUUUAUUUACAUCAGAACAAAGCAUUGUGUGUAGUAAGGAUUGAAUGAGCUAAUGCUUUGAAAAGCAUACGGAUAAGCAUCCAUCUUUAUGUGCGAGUGUGUUGCUCCGUAGAUUUUAUGUAGAGGCUAAGGAGUUGGGAGAAACAGAGGUACCACUCGAUGGUUAACAUAAAUUAAUUACAAACUGUUGAAAUGAACUCAAACUCAUCAGAACAACUUGUCGUAUUAAAGUCGAAAAAGUGAGUGACAUGUCAUUUCAAUUGAGCAAGAUUCCAAAGCUGACAACUUGGUAAUGUCGUCCAAAACCAUUAAACUCUCAUGUGGUUAACGCAUGCUUAUUUCUAAGCUUAAACGGCACAGCUUGCUGUUGUUUAAGGAAGGUUUUAAGUUGCGCAUGAAGAGUUCGUGAUCAGUUAGUUAAGGCUGUUGAUUUUGGAGGGAAUUUUCUGGAUUUGUAACGCCAGCAACAACUGAUAUAUAUGUGCUGGUUCUGGUGUAGUCUUGUUGUAUCAAGGAGAGAGUUAUAAGGUACUAAUAGUGAGAGUAAAGCUCUGCUGAGUGUUUCUCUGUAUUGCGUGUUAUCAUUUCUGUUACCUUGAAGCUUAAUAAAGUUACUCCCUGAGUUGUUUUCUCCAGUGGAUAUGGGCACCCUUAAAAGGUGUUGAACCACUUAAUUUCUUGUGUGUUCUUGAUUUUUUGGGUUGUGUUCUUUGAUCUGUUCAUUAUUUUGGUUAGCUUAGGUUUGAUUCUUAAAUCUUAGAGUUUGAGUUAGGUCUUGAGGUGUGAUUAAUCCUGUAAUUAAACGGUCGAUUUCACAAUAAUUGGUAUCAGAGCUUUAACUCUGAUUUCAAGGUUCAAGAAUGGGUUCAAAAGUGGAUCUUGAGAAGUUUACGGGGCAUAAUGAUUUCAACUUGUGGAAAAUCAAGAUGAAGGCUUUGUUGAUCACUUAAGGCCUAGGAGAUUUCAUAGAUCCAAUCUCUAAGCUUGAAGCAAGUGAGGCUUCAUCAUCCAAGACCUCAGAACAAAUAAUAGAGAUACACAAGAAAGCCAGAAGCAUAAUUAUUCUAAGUCUUGGUGACUCUGUAAUCUGAGAAGUGACAAAAGAAAAGAUUGUUGCUAGUUUAUAGGCCAAGUUGGAGAAUCUGUAUAUGACAAAGUCUUUAGCAAAUAGGCUUUACAUAAAAAAGAAGAUGUUCUCACUGAGGAUGAUUGAAUGAGCAUCAUUAAAUGAGCAUAUAGAUGAGUUCAAUAAGGUUUGUGAUGAACUGGAGACAAUUGAUAAAGGACUGAGUGAUAAAAGCAAAGCUUUACUGUUAAUAAGUUAUUUGCCAAAGUCAUACGAGCACUUUAUGGAUGCAUUGUUGUAUGAGAGGCGAACAUUUUCCCUAGAAGAGGUUAAAUCUGCUCUUGGUACCAAAAAGCUGAAAGAUAAGCAAGAUAAUCCAGAAAGUGAAUUAAGUGAGGGACUGAUGGCUAGAGGCAGGUCUGAGAAGAGAGAAAGUAAGGGAAAGAAACUAGGCAUAUCAAAGUCUAAACAGAAGAAUUUUAAGUGUUUUCAAUUCCAUAAAGAAGGGCAUUUCAAAAGAGAUUGCCCUGAAAGAAAGAACAAGAAUAAAGAAACCAAUGAAAGAACAGGAAAUGCAGCCAUAACCACAGAAAAAGAAGGUGGCUUUGAAACAGCUGGAGUGCUCAUUGCCACAAAUAAAAAACCUCAAGGUCAGUAGGUCCUUAACUUAGGUUGUACCUUUCAUAUGUGUCCAAAUAGAAGCUAUUUUACUUCAUAUCAGCCAUGUGGUAGGGGUGUGGUUUUAAUGGGUAAUAAGUCAAUGUGUAAAGUGGUUGGUAUUGGGACUGUAAGCCUUAGAAUGUUUGAUAGUGUGGUAAGACAAUUAACACAAGUCAGGUUUGUUCUUGAAUUAAAAAGGAACUUAAUUUCAAUUGGCAUGCUAGAUCAAACAAGUUGUGUGAUUAAGGCUGAAAAAAGGGUAUUGAGGGUAAUUAAAGGCUCAAUAGUGAUAAUGAAAGGUAUAAAACAAAAUGGCCUAUAUGUGCUGCAUGGACAUACUGUUGGUGGAGAGGUAAGUGUAACUGACAGUUGAGGAAACAAAUCAAUGCUGUGGCAUUUGAUGAUAAGGCAUAUGAUUGAAAGCAGUUUGAGAGAGCUACAAAAACAAUGAGUGUUUGGGAAGAUAAGAGCUUUGGGGUUCUGUGAAGAUUGUAUUAUAUGAAAGUCUUCCAGGCUAAGGUUUGAGACUGCAGCUCAUACCACCAAAAAGAAACUUGGAUACAUACACUCUGAUUUGUGGGGGGCCUGCACAAGUGAAUUCACUAAGUGGGUGUAAAUACUUUCUAUCAUUUAUGAAUAAAUUUUCAAAGAUGGUUUGGAUCUUUGCACUCAAAAGUAAAUAUGAGGUUCUGGAAAAAUUUAAAAGGUGAAAGAUUUUUUUUGAAAACCAAACUGGUUUGAAAGUGAAAACUCUGAGGACAGAUAAUGGCUUGGAGUAAUGCAAUAAGCUGUUUGAAGAAUUCUGUGAGAAGAAUGGUAUUCAGAGGCACAAAAUUCUCACCUAUACUCCUCAACAAAAUGGCCUUGCUGAGAGGAUGAACAAGACUUUGGUAGAGAAGGCGAGGUGCAUGCUGAUCUAUUUUUAGCCUUUAGAAACCCUUUGGGCAGAAGCUUUAAACACAACAUACUAUCUAGUCAACAGGAGCCCAUUAACUGCUAUAGGUUGUAAAACACUAAUGGAACCGUGGUAAGGGAGAAUGACUGAUUUUUCAAAACUCAGAAUAUUUGGCUGCACAGCAUAUGCUCAUGUAAAGCAGGGUAAACUGAAACUAAGAGCAUUAAAAUACAGGUUUCUGGGGUAUCGAGAAGGUAUCAAAGGCUAUAGAUUGUGGUGUGUUGAUUCAAAGCCACCACAGUGCAUUAUAAGCAGAGAUGUAACUUUCCAUGAUGAUGAGAUUUUGAAUAGACCAAAGCGUCCUGUUAACAACUCUGAAUUAGGUGCUGAGACUGAUAAAGUGAAGUUUCAGGUGGAGCCUCACAACUUGAAAGAACUUGAGCCUGAAAUUGAGACUGCUGAAAUAAAACCUAAAGCUAGUGUUGAACAUGAAUCAGCAGAAAGUGUAGAGGACACCUAUCAAUUGGCAAAAGACAGAAAGAGAAGGACUAUAAGACCACCUAAAAAAUAUGCAGUGGCUGACUUAAUUGCAUAUGCUUUGACAGUUGCUCAAGAGCUGAAUGAUUAUGAACCUAGGACUUAUCAGGGAGCUAUCACAGGCAAAAAUAAACUGGAAUGAAAUAGGACAAUGGAUAAAGAGAUGGCAUCCCUGAUGAAAAAUAAGACCUGGGAAUUGAUUGAAAAACCAGUUAAGAGGAGGAUAGUAAGUUGUAAAUAGAUUUUUAACCUGGAGCUGAGCUUAGAAGAUUUAAGGCUAGAUUGGUGGCAAGGGGCUUCACACAAAAUGAGUGAAUUGACUUCACUGAAGUAUUUUCCCCUGUAGUGAGACAUGCUUCCAUCAGAAUUAUUCUUACACUUGUGGCUGUUCAGGAUAUGCAUCUUAAGCAGAUGGAUGUAAAAGCAGUUUUCCUGCAUGGUGAAUUACAAGAGGAAAUUGUAAUGCAACAGCCAAAAGGGUAAAUGGCAUUUGGUAAAAAAGAUUGUGUCUGCUUACUUAAAAAGUCUCUAUAUGGGUUAAAGCAAUCACUUAGGCAAUGGUAUCUGAAGUUUGAUAACUUCAUGAUAACACAUGCCUUUAACAUGUGCAGCUAUGAUUGUUGUGUGUACUUUAAAGAGAUAAGUGGAGGGGGAAUGAUAUAUCUUCUGUUGUAUGUAGAUGAUAUGCUGAUUGCAUGCCAUAAAAGGGAAGAGAUCAAUAAUCUAAAGAGACUUUUAAGCAGAGAAUUUGAAAUGAAGGAACUUGGAGAAGCCAAGAGAAUUCUGGGGAUGGAUAUCAUCAAGAACAAGAGCGAGAAAAUUUUGUUCUUAACUCAACAAAGCUACAUUAAGAAGGUUCUGAUGAGAUUUGGAAUGAAUGAUGCUAAGCAAGUGCAUACACCAUUGGCAAAUCACUUCAAGUUGUCUGUUGUUCAAUGCCCUCAAACUGAAAGAGAACAACAGAAAAUGGCUUGUAUACCCUACUCAAGUGCAGUAGGUAGCCUCAUGUAUGCCAUGGUACUCACCAGACCUGAUAUCUCACAUGCUGUGAGUUUGGUGAGCAAGUUUAUGGCAAAUCCAAGAUAUGAACACUGGAGAACUGUUCAGUGGAUUAUGAGGUAUCUGAAGGGGACUUUGGAGGUUGGUUUGGUUUAUAGUGGAGAAGAUAAAAAUGGACACAUACUAAUUGGUUAUGUAGAUGCUGACUUUGCUGGUGAUCUUGAUAAAAAGAGGUCACAAACAGGGUAUUUGUUUACUCUUGGAGGCUACACAGUCAGUUGGAAAGCAACAUUACAGAAUGUAGUGGCCUUGUCCACUACAGAGGCAGAGUAUACUGCAGCAGCUGAAGCUUUCAAAGAAGUAAUUUGGUUGAAGGGCAUGAUAGCUGAGUUAGGAGCUGAUCGAGAGACUGUAACAAUAUAUAGUGACAACCAGAGUGCUAUACAUCUUAGCAAGAAUCAAUCCCAUCACAAGAAAACAAAACAUAUACAUAUUAAGUUGCAUUUCGUUAAGCUUAAGGUAUCAAGGGUGUUAACAUGAAUAUGUUAAUAAUAUUGAUUUUGAUGAUAACAAAUUUUAAAUGGUUUUUGAUAAAAAUAUUGGAGCUAUUUCUUAAUAAACGAAAGCCUUAAUAAUCAUUCCAUUCAUUCUUCAUAAAAGAUGGACUAUCAAAUUAGAAAAAGAUUCUCUGCAAAAACUGGUUUAAAAUGCAAUUCUGGUUAUAAGCGGUGAACCGUUUAUUUUAAACGGUUAACCGAUAACAUCCAGAGAGCAACAUAUUUCCUAAACCUUGAACCGUUUAUGAAAAACGGAAAACACCAAAAGAUGGGAAGGCUACUGGAACUUAACGGUGAACCGUUUAUUUUUAAACGGUUAACCGAUAACGUCCAGAAUCACUGAUUAACAAAACCGGUUAAGGCUGAAUUAUUUUGCAGGUUACUGGAGACAAACGGCAAACCGUUUAUUAUAAACGGUUAACCGAUAACAUCCAGAGAAGUCACUUCUUACAAAUCCUUAACCGUUUAGUGUAAACGGAUAGCUGAUAUUCAUUUUGCAGGUCUUUGGAAGUUAACGGCGAAAGGGCAAUCCUAAACGGCAAACCGUUUAUUUGAAAUCUGGCCCAACGGUAACUUUGACCAACCGAAACGGUUAACCGUUUAGGGUUAACGACGAACCGUUUUCUGUCCGACAGUUUGUAACGGCUAGAUUUUUAGCUCCAGAUAUAAAUAAGCUCAUUCAAAUUCAAAGAAAGUUGAUCACAACACGACCAUUGAGCAAAUAUUCGAGAAUACAAUCUUAAUAGAGCUUAGAACACAUUCUUGCUUCAUCUAUUCACAUAUUAAGCAUCAUUGUGUAAUCUUAUAUAUUGUGAGAGGCAAAAUAAUUUGUAAUAUUUUACUUUGAGUGAUUGUAAGUGUUGGGAUACACUUGGGUUAAGAGAUUGGGGAUAAUCUCUUGUUGUAAAGGUUUAUUGACACCUUGGAAGUCAAGUGUAAGCUUUUGAAGCCUUAGAGGCUUGCUUAGUGGAAUCCUUAAGCCCGGAAAGCUUGGAGGCGUGGACGUAGGCGAGGUUGGCCAAACCACGUAAAAAUCUAUGUGUUUGAAUACCUCUUCCCUUAUCUUUUUAUAUUGUGAUCAACUUAAUUGUUAUUGCUUUGAAUUUGGAUUAUAUUUGCAUUAAGUUUUUCGUUAUAAAUUGAAUAAUUUUUUAGAAUCCCAAUUCACCCCCCCUCUUGGGUUGCAUACUUGUAUUUCAAAGGGGAGCUGUGAAGUUGCUGAAGAUUCAUACUGAAGAAAAUCCAGCUAACAUGUUAACCAAAGUUGUGCCUACUGCCAAGUUCAGCCUUUGCAUGAACUUAGCAGGUAUAUACAAGUUUUAAGAAGCUGCAGAUGGGGAGAAGACAAUGUGAAAGAAGGGAGCUGUGAGUGUUGAGUUCAAGGUGGGGAUUGUUGAAAUGAACUCAAACUCAUCAGAACAACUUGCAUAUUAAAGUUGAAAAGGUGAGUGACAUGUCAUUUCAGUUGAGCAAGAUUCCAGAGUCGACAACUUGGUAAUGUCGUCCAAAAUCAUUAAACUCUCACGUGGUUAACGCACGCUUAUUUCUAAGCUUAAACAGCACAACUUGCUGCCGUUUAAGGAAGGUUUUAAGUUGCGCGUGAGGAGCUCGUGAUCAGUUAGUUAAGACUGUUGAUUUUGGAGGGAAUUUUCUAGAUUUGUAACGCCAGCAACAACUUAUAUAUAUGUGCUAGUUUUGCUGUAGUCUUGUUGUAUCGAGGAGAGAGUGAUAAGGUGGUAAUAGUGAGAGUAAAGCUCUGCUGAGUGUUUCUCUAUAUUGCGUGUUAUCAUUUCUAUAACCUUGAAACUUAAUAAAGUUGCUCCAUGAGUUGUCUUCUCCAGUGGAUGUAGGCACCCUCAAAAGGUGCUGAACCACUUAAUUUCUUGUGUGUUCUUGAUUCGUUGAGCUGUGUUCUUUGAUCUGUUCAUUGUUUUGGUUAGCUUAGGUUUGAUUCUUAAAUUUUGGAGUCUGAGUUAGGUCUUGGGGUGUGAUUAAUCCUGUAAUUAAAAGGUGAAUUUCACAACACAAACAAUGAUCAGUACAGGGAUCAGAGGCAUAUUUCUCUGUCAAAUUUCUCCUCUAAAUGAAUUGUAUUCCAUUCACGUGCAUAAAACCCAUCCAAAUUCCUCUCCUCUGCAGUCUGCAGCAGGAAAUGCUCUUCCCGACCCGGACAAAGUCAUUCAAAUGCAAAACCUUUCUCCCUCAAUUCUUUUAGCCGAUGAAAAUAGUAUCUCAGCACUGCGUUUAUUAACAGGAAAGGUGCGGCAUUAUCGUGGACGAAGAAGAAGAAGCCGCCAGUGAUGAUGCAAACGAUAACUGCGAGUACUUUGGCACUAUGAAGCACUGAAUAUGUGCCUGUGAGAAAAGCGAAAAGCAUCGCAGACAAGGCUAACUGUAUCAUUCCUCGGCUAAUUUUCAAUAGAAUAUAUUCCUUAAUCUUGUCCGGUAGCAAUGACAGGUAAAGGUGGAUGAAGACGGCACUUGUGGACAAAACCAAGGCUAACGAAUUGAAUAUAACAAAUGCUUGGAAAGCACUGCUUCUUGUUAGAACUGCGGCACCCUGAUCUGGACCAAUUUCAUUAAUGUAACCACCAGGCACGGUAAUACCUGCUGCGAAUGUAACAGUUGCUAUAAGUGCUGCCACUACUAGAUGGGAUUCCUUGCUUUUGUUGACAUAUUGCUCCAACUCCUCGUAUCUUGAUGCGACUCUUCUUUUACUGUCAUUGCUCUUCUUGUCUUCUUCACUAGUAUUACUACCUUGUUCCUUUGUUUCCCCAUUUCCAAAGACUAUAUGUCGCUGGCACCGGAUAGGGUUUAGUCUAGCCAAGCACCCUAGAAACAAUAUCUGCAACAACAUAUGUUGUACAUUUUCAAAAAACUGUUAUGAACAGUAACGAUUAAUUUCCUAAAUUCUGGAAUCAGUGUGUAAAAAGUAACUAAUAAAGACACAAAAAUUAAAAAUAUAGAUUAUUAGGUUGUCUUACCUCCUUCUCCCAAGUAAGCACCUUGUUUGAACGGAUUAUGUCUUCAGCGCUAUUGUUUUGAUGAUUGAAUGCUAGCUUAUCUACUUUCGCGUGACGAACGAAAGACUUUAUAAAAGAACCAGAAGCAGCAUGUUCUAGGAGGGGUGUGUUUCCGUCGUAGUUUUUCUCGUUCAUAAGGUUUCCAAGCGACGGAUUUCCUAAGAGUAAUUCGACUGUCCUUCUGCAUCCGCUAUGCAUGGCAAAGUGAAAAACAUUCCACCCUCUCUUAUCGACCAGUUCACAAGAACUUGGACAACUCCGUAUUAGAUCUCGCACUGUAUCUACUUUGCCCUUCACGGCUGCAAGAUGAAGAGGUAUCUUUUCCUCGUUAUCAGCUUUGUAGGCUGCUGAUUUAUCGGCCUUGAGUAAUUCCUUCAUCACGUAAGAGUUUCCCAAGUGUGCAGCCAAGUGAAGUGGAAGCCACCCUUGCUGAUCCGGUUUGCUGGUCUGAGUUCUUUUACUAGAACGUAGUAAAACUUUUGUAAUUUCUACAUAAAAGAAAACAAACAAAAAUUAAACUGAAAAAUAAUAUAGAGGGACCAAUUCUUUGUUCAAGUCAAUUUUGCAUAACAGAUUUGGUUGAAGUAUAAUUUAUUUUGCUUCUUGUAUGUUCAAAAUGAGAAAUAUUUAAAACAAAAAAUAGGUUGACAAUCAAAUAAUAGUAGGUUGUACCUGCAUCUUUGCGAAUUGCAACUGCGCUCAAAGUUGGAAGUGCAUAAGCUGACCAUGGACCUGCGAAAUAAUUGAAGAUUUCACGUGUAUCUUUGCGAAAUGCCGCUGCGUGCAAAGCCGUUCUUCCCAUUGGUCCAUGGUCAACUGGUGAUUCGCAAUUCGAUAAAAUAUCUUCCAUAACAUCUUUGUAACCCCUCUCCGCAGCCAGGUAGAGUGGAGUCUCCCCAGCUUCAUUGGCAUCAUAUGGUAAAUUAGGGUCUUCUUUUGUCAACAUCUUCACCACAUCAACUUGAUUGUAACGCACCGCCUCGUGCAAGGCUGUGUCUUUGGCUUCAUUCGUCGUCCCCAGCAUCAGCCUCGCAGCUGCAACACCUUCCUCGGGGUUGUUCUGGUGAGGUUUCUUGCAUUCAGCAAUUAGAACCUUCACUAUAUCAGAAUGCCCGUGCCUGGCCGCGAUGUGCAGCAGAGUUUCUCCUUUGGCAUUGGCCUUCAGUAAUAGAAUAGGACACAUUUCUAAAAUAACCCUCACAAAAUUUUCUCCUCGGAUUACUUCCCGAUCAUCCGACGAUGAUUGCUUUUUAAAAGUACUGAUCAUCCUCCAAAGGCUGUUUGCCUUGUUAUUGGGCUUCAUUGUUUUAUUAGGUAGGGCUGUGAUGUGGAUAUGGAGGAUUGUGUUCUCGUCUGGUGUCAAUAUUUGGUUUAGGACAGCUUUGUGUUCUUCGAAUUUACCAACAUGGCCUUCUACUGCAGCCUCGUAUAGAUCAUCCAUCAACUGGAAAUUCUUUCCUCGGACACUGCGUAGUCUUUCCCGGCGUGUCUCAGCAUUCUGGUUAUCAGAACCUGAAAAUGACGACAUUUCUCUGGUGAGGUGAUGUGAUGUGAAGGUGUGCUGUGAAAGAUGGAUUUUCUUUCCGUGCGUAUUUUCAAAAUGGUGAUGGCCACAGCAGCUAAGUGCUACCCAAUUUAUAUACAAAGAUGGCUUGCAUGCACGUGCAAGUCCGGUCCUACAGGGGACUUCAUCGUCGUCAAGUACGUAAAUUAAAUAGCAAUUUUCUUUACUUAUCUGAUGAUUCUACUAAUGCGCUGUUUUCUUUCUCAAGUCCUACGGAUUAAAAAAUUAAUUAAUGGUGUGUUUACUUCAUAGAAUAGGGAAUGAGAAUGAAACCCAUGUUUACUUGACAAAAUAUAAUUUGGGAAUAAGAAUAAAAUGUGUGGGUCUCACAUAAUUUCAAAAUAAGGAAUGAGAUUCCCAUUAAGGGUUGGGAAUGAGAAUAGAAAAUAUGUUUAUUUUUGUAUUCCUAUAUUUUUUUUUCAUAUUUUUCAAAUUACCCUCAUUCAAAUCACAAUUAAUUUUAUUAUUUUAGAUGUCAUUAAUAAUAAUAAUAAUAAUUAUUAUUAAUAAAUUUUAUUAACUUUAUUAUUUUAGUUGUUAUUAUUAUUAUUAUUAUUAUUAUUAUUAUUAUUAUUAUUAUCAUUAUUAACAAUAAAAAUAAUGAUAAAAAUAGUAAUUAAUAAAAAUAACAAAUAUCAUUAUUAAAAAUAUUAUCAUUAUUGUUGUUGUUAUUAUUAUUAUAUUAUUAUUAAUAAAAAUAAUAAUAACAAUAAUUAAUAAUAACUAAAAUAAUAAAAUUAAUAAAAUUUAAUAAUAAUAAUAAUGUAAUUUUCAUUUUCUAGAUACAUGUAUAAAUAUUAUUAUAAAAAAGAUAUUAAUUAAAAAAAUAUUAAUAAAAAAUAUUAAUAAUGAUAAUAUUAAUAAAAAUAAUAUUAACAAUAAUUAAUAAUAACUAAAAUAAUAAAGUUAAUAAAAUUUAAUAAUAAUAAUAACAACAACAACAACAAUAAUGAUAAUAUUGUUAAUAAUGAUAAAUUAAUUAUUUUUAUUAAUUAUUAAUACUAUGCGUAUUUUGGUAAAUUGAUUCUCAUUCCCAUUCCUCAUUUCGGUUCCUCAUUUUCAUUUAUUUUGUCAAGUAAACACAUCAAUAGCAUUCCAGCACAUUUCCAUUCCCAUUUAUUUUUGUCAAGUAAACAUUGGAAUCUCAUUCUCAUUCCUCAUUCACAUUCCACUCAAUUUCCAUUCCUAUGAAGUAAACACACCAAAAUAACUUGUCGGACUCGUCUGCCAUUUUACGAGAUUGACAUCUCCUUUUUCCUUAUUUUAUCUCCCCUCUCUUCUUUCCAUUCUUCUUCUCUCAUUUCAUUUUUUCCAACUAAAUAUAUAUUAUUAUAGCAUAUUUGGAUGGAGAAAAGGAAAAGGAAGGAAAGAAGAGGAAAGGAGGAGCGGGAAAAGGAAUAAUAAAAGGAGAGAAAAUAUGAAUUUAAUGUCAAACCAAACAAUGCAGUGGCGAAGGUAGCAAUAUUUUUUGGGUGGGCUGAUUUUUUUUAAAAUUAAAUUUAUUUCUCAAAAAUUUUGUUUUAUACAACUGAAAUUAUUAAGUACACUACAUAAGCAAAAACACUAACCAUUAAACUAUAAAAGUACAAUGUAAAUAUGAAAAAUACUAUUAGUGAAAUUGCGUCUUGCGAUUCUUUGAAAAGGAAAACUCAUCUAUUAUCGCAUCUGAAUUAAUAUUGUCUGCAAUUUAUCAUUCUUUGUAUUGUAUCAUUAUUUUCUAAUUUCAAGAAGAUGAAUAAGCAGUUUCCACUUUGUAUGCCAUCAUUAUCAUUCUAAUAUCUAUCAAUCUAUUAUCAUAUUCUAUUAUUUUAUAAUUCUAAGAAAAUGAAUCACAAAAUCAACAACUUCCUCUUUAUGCCAUCAUUAUCAUAAAUCGUAUUGUAUUCUAUAUAUUAAAAUUUACAAUAUAAGGUCACUUAUACUAGGCACUGCAUCAAGCAUCAAGAGACAGAGAUUGGGCAAUCGGCUUCGAGACUUCGGGUGUGGCAAGAGAUUGAGCCUGCGGGUGCCAAACGUACGAUAGCGGCUGGCAUCACUUCGGGUGUGACAGACUGCUCAUUCAACACCAGUGAGAGACUCAAGCAGUUAAGUUUUGGUGAAUUUAGAUAUUUGAUUAAGUUGGAUACUUCGGGAGUUUUGUUAAUUGUGAUUUGAAGAAAAUAAAGAUUAACUGUAAUUAUUAGAUUUAUUUUUAUUUUUUAUAAGUAUUAAUACAGGUAAAUUUAUAAAUUAAAAUUAACAAUUUUUUUUUUGAAAAAACUUCGCCAACUCUUAGCUUUGCCCCUAACAUAAUGAGAUUAAGAUUAACAUAUUUUCCCCUCAUUUUCUCUCCCCCUCUCUCCUUUCCUCUCUUUCUUCCAACUAGAUAUGUGCUCAAUAUAAUGAACUGAUAUAAGGUAUUAAUGUUGUUGAGGUUUUACUUUAAUGAAAAUGAGCAAAUGAAGCUUUAUGAAACUGAAAUGUUGAUGAACAUAAUUUAUAUACAUAUUUUACCAUUUAUUGUAUAUUUAUUAGUUAAUUUUAUUUGUUAUUUUUAAUUGAUUGAAUUGUUUUAUUGAAUAGAGAAUUAAUUGGAGAUUAAGAAUAAAAAAGUGCAAAAAGAGUAAUAAUUUCGGGGAGUAUCAAUCGAAGCCGUGACAAAGUUAAGAUUUUAUAGCAUGUGAAGCCAAGAGCAAUUUGCAUUUAAAAGGAAUUUCAAUUCUCCAAUUGAGUUGCACGUGCUUGGCAUUGCAAUAUGUGAAAAGCAAUUUAAAGGGACCCGUACUUGGCUUUCAAAAGUGGAAAGUAAUGGCUUAUGGUGGCGUUAAUUUGGAAGAUUUGUUUUAUAAUUGGAAAAGGAUUUUAAUUAGUAUAAAAAGAGGAUUCGGUGGCUAAGCAUUAUAAAAAGAGAGUUUUGGCUUUUGAAUGAGGUAGCCACCAGAGGAGCAGACGCAAGGCUGGGAGAGAAGAAUAAAGCAGCGGCAGCAGCAAUUUAAUUUUCAUGGCUGGUUUUGUUUAUUUUAUUGCUCCUAAUUCAAGUAUGUCUAGCUAAUUUUCUUAUACUGAGGUUAAGGAUGAAAUUCUAUUUAAUGAAAUAAUUAUAUUUUUAUUUAUUUAAUUCUCUAUAUAUGUUCUUUGAUGAUUAUGAUUUUUAUUUCACAUGAUUAAUUAGAUGUUAUUAAAAUCUUUUUAUCAAUUCUGUCGUGCAUUAUUGAUUGUUAGGAUUAAUAUUCGAUUAAAUCUAUGCUUGGAUCUAUAAAGUUUAUACAUGAUUAUCUUUGAUUCUAUGUCUUUCAUUAAAUUGUUUACAUAGAGUGCUUAGUAAAACUUUGACUCUUUGUUAUUCAAAAUAUGUACAUGCGAUGCUUAGAUGUCAUACUAUUAAGCAGAAAAAGAACCUACAUUAGAUUUAAUUACUUGGGCUUAAUUGUUAUAUCUAUGAGAUGACAUAGAUUGAUUUCGAGUUGUCAUUCUAAAAUUGGGGAUUAAUUAAUAAUUAGAUAAUUAUUAGUUGAAUAGUGGCGGAUUAUGAAACUUUGGUAAUUUUUGUCUUACUGAAAUCUCAUUUACUUUAAUUGUUUUCUUAGUUUAAUUAGUUUAAUUUCUCUUAAAACUCAAUUUGCUCAAUUAGUUUAGAAUUAAUAUUAAUUUUAAAUUUAAAUUAGACAUUUCAAUUUAUAACAAUUCCUGUGGGAUCGACCUCGUUACCACUAUUCUAUCUCUAGAUUCAUGCGUCUGGGAGUAUAUUAAAAUUUUCACAACAAAUGUCUUAAACGUCUUCCUUUUUUAAUUCUUCCCUACUACAUUUCAAUCAGAUUCCAUAGACAUUUAUGCUUUUUCUUUUGCGAGUAAAGAUUCUAAUUUACUCUUUCACUAAUUGACAAGCCAUUCCAUAGACAUUUAUGUUUUUUCCUUUGCGAGUUAAGAUUCAAAUUUAUUCUUAACUAAUUGACAAGCCACACCUUGACCAUCCAAAAAUUAAAUAAUAAAUUUGGAGAUUUUUGCAUCUAUUUUAUAAUAAUAUUUCGUUUAUUUCCUCCUUAGGGAAAGUUCAUAAACCUUUAAUUUAACUACUUAAGCAUUACAAAACUAUUAGUACACUUACUAGAGAGGACAUUAAUUGUUAACUAAUAAUAUUCAUUCAGUUAAUAAUUAAUUUUGGGUGCACGGUUUUUUACCAAAGGAAAUUUUUUAUUUGAGUCCUUGUUCUCUACAGAAAGAAAAUCAACUAUCAAAAGUUUUCAAAAUACAAACACUCAAGUCCUUCCAAAAUUCCAAUUUCAAUUUUAUUUCAUUCCGAUCCUGAAUACUAGAUUUCACAGUAAAAAAAUUUGUGAAAGCGUUAUCAUAGUAGAUAAUUAUAGUCCAAUGUCUCACACUACAAUUUACAUUCCAUUUUAUCUUUGUUUGUUAGUGUAAGUACUAUAAAAUUUUGGCCACUUACAAUGCACUGCGUGUCGAUAAAUGCACUACAAAUGUGAAGAGUCCGAAUGUGUUUAGUAAAAAUAGAUAAAAGAAAGUCUUUGAAAGCAAAAGCAUGUGAGUCACGUGACAGAUAAAUAAAUAAAUAGGAAAGAUCAGAUUAAAUAAAAAAUAUGAAGAACAAUUGAGAUUAGAUCCAAAAUGAUAUGAUCUCUCAUACUUGAAAGUUACUAUAAAUAGAAAUAUUGAACUACCUAAAAGGGAUCCAAACAUUAAUUCUCUCUUGUGAACGAGAGAGAAAAACACUAUGAAAUUAAGGCUAUAUUUUUCUUUAAUUUUCUUGUAUUUUCUAAGGAACCAAAUUGUUACGGACCGCCCAAGUUGCUAGCCCAAUUGCCCACCAAGAGCCCAAGACAAGGCCAAGAGUGCUAGCUUCGCCCGAUUCUAGAAACUUUUAGGCAAAUCUAGCACAUUUGAGGUUGUACAUACCUAGAAUAUUCCACACAUUUCUAGCUCAUGUAAAUAUCUAGAAUUCUAAGCAUGUGGUAGAAUUCUCUAGAAUCUCUAGAGCUUGGCAAGGCUCCCCUAUAAAUAGGGCAUGACAUUUAGCAUUUGAGUAAAAAGCUUAAAGCAAGCAACUCAAACACGUGUAAGCUCUCUUGUAAUCUCUCUUGUGAGUAAUACAAUUUCUCUUAUUCGGCUCCAUUACUCCCUUCUCUCUAACUCUUCGAAAACCUCUAGGCUUAACUAGUCGAGAAGUUCAAGGCUUACUUAACAACAUUCGGCAAAGGUUGUCUAACUGCCGCACGGGUUUGUUACGCAAAACAUUCAUCCCAUGACAAAAUGCUUACUUGAGUAUCAGAGUGCUUUUUGCAGGUAUCGAAUUAGCCCUUGAAGCUUUAGGAGGUUGAAAAUGCAGGACAAAAUCGUCCUUCCUUGGAUAUUGAAAGAUUUAUAGAUCCUUCAGUUAAUAAUUUUUUUACAAUUUUUACCAUGUUAAAAUUAUUCGAUUUUUGAAUUUCUUUUGCGCUCAAAUAAUUACUAAAUGUGGCAUACACGCGACUUUGUUUCCCCCACCAUCAGCUGACACGCGAGCCUUAAUUACGCUCUGCGGCCUCAUUGCGUCUGAGUGAUUGCUCGGGUUAAAUAAAGUUAGCAAUGCAUAUGCACAAAGGCCACCAUUUUAUUUGGUUCACCAAACUAUAAUGCCAAUGGAUUAAGAGGGGAUUAUGUAAUGAGUUCUAUUUGUUAUACUAAUUAGUACCAAAACAACGUCCCACCCUCUCAGGUCUUUCUCAUUCUUAAAUCAACUCCUUAUUGAGUGAUAUUGAAUUUGUCUUAGGAGUCUCGCUGAGUUGUUCUAAAAUAUUUUUUUAAUUGAGCACCAAGUUCGAAUUUUGGAAGAUAUCAGGAGUUAGAAAAUAAAUUUGAAAUUUGCUCACUCUCUUAUCUUUUUAAGGAAAAAAAAGGUGAUAUUGAAUUUCAUUCAACCAUUGAAUAGUAAAAUUUUAUUACUUAUGCAAUUACUUAUAUAUAAGGAUUAGGCUAUGCUAUUAUCCAACAAACAUUUAUACUUUUUGAAAUAAAAUUUUUUAUCAUUUUUUGGAGUUUAAUGAAAGGACGCAAUUACAUCAAAAAUUCUAAAACUAACACCAGUAGGGUAAAAAAAAACAUAUCAAUGAAUUAAUUAUCAUUUGACAUGUCCGUUUUAUGUCGGAAUUGAUAAAAAAAAUUAUAAUUUAAUUGAGGUAUCAAUGAUCAACGUUUCAAGUAUUAAUUGUGUUGAGGUUUAAGUUUGAUGAAAAUGAGCAAACGAAAAUGAGCAAAUGAAGCUUUAUAGGACUGAAAUGCCUUUACUAAUUGGGAAUGAGAAUAUUAGGGGUGUCAAAAAUAACCGCCCAGUUAGGACUCAAACCGAACUCGGCUUUUACCAUUCCUAGAGAAUAUAAAUGAGAGAAUAAGAUUCAUUAAUUUGGUUACUUCCAAAAUAAUGAGGGGAAAUGAGAAUAAAAUUUAAGUGGAUCCCACAAAUUUGAGAAUAUAAAAUGGAAACCACAAUAAUAAGAAAGAUGGGAGAUGAGAAUGAAAAUGACAUAUGAGAAUGAAAAAUGAAUUGAUAUUUGUACUUUUAGUGAAAAUUAAAAAUUCAUUUCAUCCCAUUUAUUAACAACAACAACAACAAUAUUAUUAUUAUUAUUAUUAUUAAUCACUAUUAUUAUAGUAAACAAUAACAAUAAUCAUUUAAGAUAAUCAUAGUAACUUAUAACAAUUCAUUCUGAUUUUAAGAUAAAAUAAACACAUUAAUGACAAAACAAUUCAUUAUGUUGCCAAUUUGGACAGCUAAAGUAAAUAAUCUAUUAUGAUUCUUAUGCCCCCUUUUUUGUCAGUCAUUCCGAUUAAAAUCUAUUUUAAUUCCAACACAUUCCGAUUUCAAACAGUAAAUGGACCAUUAACAUCUUCGUUUUUUAUUCUUCCCUAUUAAUUUCAAUCAGAUUCCCUAAGCAUUUAAGCUUUUUCUUUAAUGAGUAGAGAAUAAAAUUUAUUCUUAACUAAUUGACAAGCCAUACCUUGACCAUCCAACAACUAAAUAAUAUAUAUAGAGAUUCUUUGUCUCCAUUUUAUAUAAUACCUCCUUUAUUCCUCCCUACAUGAAUUUCGUGAACCUUUAAUUGAACUACUUGAGCAUCACAAAACUAUUCGUAAGAUUACUAAAGAGGGCAUUAAUUGUUAAUUAAUAAUAUUCAUUUAGUUAAUAAUUAAUAUGGGUGCACCAUUUUUACCAAAGGGAUUAUUUUUUUUAUUUGACUUCUUUAUAGGAAGAAAGUCAAAUAUCAAAAGUUUAUAAAAUAUAACACUUUAUCCUCCAUUCUAAUUUCAACCCAUUCCGAUUCAAAUUUAUUUUAAUUCUAAUUCUAAUCCAUUCCGAUUAUCUAUUGGUAAAUGGACCAUUAACAUCUUCAUUUUUUUAUUCUUCCCUAUUAAUUUCAAUCAAAUUCCCUAAGCAUUUAAGCUUUUUCUUUAGUGAGUAGAGAAUAAAAUUUAUUCUUAACUAAUUGACAAGCCAUACCUUGACCAUCCAACAACUAAAUAAUAUAUAUAGAGAUUUUUUGUCUCUAUUUUAUAUAAUACUUCCUUUAUUCCUCCCUACAUGAAGAUCGUGAACCUUUAAUUGAACUACUUGAGCAUCACAAAACUAUUUGUAAGAUUACUAAAGAGGACAUUAAUUGUUAAUUAAUAAUAUUCAUUUAGUUAACAAUUAAUAUGGGUGCACCAUUUUUACCAAGGGGAUUAUUUUUUUUUAUUUGAGUUCUUCAUAGUAAGAAAGUCAAAUAUCAAAAGUUUAUAAAAUAUAAAACUUUAUGCUCCAUUCUAAUUUCAACCCAUUCCAAUUUAAAUUUAUUUCAAUUCCAACCCAUUCCGAUUAUCUAUUGGUAAAUGGACCAUUAAUAUCUUCAUUUUUUAUUCUUCCCUAUUAAUUUCAAUCAAAUUCCCUAAGCAUUUAAGCUUUUUCUUUAGUGAGUAGAGAAUAAAAUUUAUUCUUAACUAAUUGACAAGCCAUACCUGACCAUCCAACAACUAAAUAAUAUAUAUAGAGAUUCUUUGUCUCCAUUUUAUAUAAUACCUCCUUGAUUCCUCCCUACAUGAAUUUCGUGAACCUUUAAUUGAACUACUUGAGCAUCACAAAACUAUUCAUAAGAUUACUAAAGAGGGCAUUAAUUGUUAAUUAAUAAUAUUCAUUUAGUUAAUAAUUAAUAUGGGUGCACCAUUUUUACCAAAGGGAUUAUUUUUUUUAUUUGACUUCUUUAUAGGAAGAAAGUCAAAUAUCAAAAGUUUAUAAAAUAUAACACUUUAUCCUCCAUUCUAAUUUCAACUCAUUCCGAUUCAAAUUUAUUUUAAUUCUAAUUCUAAUCCAUUCCGAUUAUCUAUUGGUAAAUGGACCAUUAACAUCUUCAUUUUUUUAUUCUUCCCUAUUAAUUUCAAUCAAAUUCCCUAAGCAUUUAAGCUUUUUCUUUAGUGAGUAGAGAAUAAAAUUUAUUCUUAACUAAUUGUCAAGCCAUACCUUGACCAUCCAACAACUAAAUAAUAUAUAUAGAGAUUUUUUGUCUCUAUUUUAUAUAAUACUUCCUUUAUUCCUCCCUACAUGAAGAUCGUGAACCUUUAAUUGAACUACUUGAGCAUCACAAAACUAUUUGUAAGAUUACUAAAGAGGACAUUAAUUGUUAAUUAAUAAUAUUCAUUUAGUUAAUAAUUAAUAUGGGUGCACCAUUUUUACCAAGGGGAUUAUUUUUUUUAUUUGAGUUCUUCAUAGUAAGAAAGUCAAAUAUCAAAAGUUUAUAAAAUAUAAAACUUUAUGCUCCAUUCUAAUUUCAACCCAUUCCAAUUUAAAUUUAUUUCAAUUCCAACCCAUUCCGAUUAUCUAUUGGUAAAUGGACCAUUAACAACUUCAUUUUUUAUUCUUCCCUAUUACAUUUCAUUCAGAUUCCUUAAACAUUUAAGCUUUUUCUUUAGCGAGUCGAGAAUCAAAUUUACUCUUAACUAAUUGACAAGAUAGACCGUGACCAUCUAACAAUUAAAUAAUAUAUAUAGAGAUUCUUUGCCUCUAUUUUAUAUAAUACUUCCUUUAUUCCUCCCUCUAUGAAGUUCGUGAACCUUUAAUUGAACUACUUGAGCAUCACAAAACUAUUCGUAUGAAAAAUCAUCAACAAUUACAAAAGCAUAGUAUUUACCACGUAGGCUAGCAUAUUUAGAUGGUCGAAACAAAUCCAUGUGAAUGAGUUGAAGUUGUUUUGACGUAAAAAUAUGAAAUUUGUCUUGGAAUGAUGUUUGGACUUGGUUUCCAAAUUGACAUGCAUCAGACUCUCUAUUGUUUUGAAAACCAAUUUUAGGAAGACCUCUUACUAAAUUAUUUUUCGAAAUUUUUGAGAUCAAAUCCAGGUUUGCAUGACCUAGUCUUCUAUGGCAUAACCAACUAUUAUCAUGCAAUGCCGAAAAUCAUUUAUUAUGUGUAGAUACACAUUCUAUAUCAAUGGUAUAAGUAUUGACACAUCUAUUUCGAAUAAACAAAAUUUUACUAUCACAUGCAUUUUCAAUAAAACAUCUAAUUUUAUAAAAAAUAACUUUAUAACCCUUAUCAUAUAAUUGACUAAUACUAAUCAAGUUGUGUUUUAAGUUUUCAACCAAACAUACAUUUUCAAUAAGAGUUGAAGAAAAUUUACUGACUCUACCAAUUCCAAGAAUCUUUCCCUUUGAAUUGUCUCCAAAUGAAACAUCGACACUGUUUUCAAUCUUGGUAAAUCUUGAGAACCAUGUAUGGUUCCAAGUCGUAUGCCUUGAGCAACCAUUGUCUAGGCACCAUUUAUUCUUCUUCUUCUUCAAGCCCUGGAGAGGAAAUCUCGAGUUUUAGGUACUCAAACCUUUUUGGAUCCUUGAGUCUUAGUAAUGGUUUCUUUUGGAACCCAAAUACAUUUGACUCCCUCAUAUGCAUUUCUUUUAACUGGACAUUUAUAUUUCAUAUGACCAUUUUGAUUGCAAUAAUGACAUACAAUUUUAUCAUUAACGGAGGUACUUUUCACAAAGUAAUUCUUGUAAUUUUUUUGUUUCAAGUUUGGCUUGUAGCCAAUGCCUCCUUUAUCAACACAUAUUUUAGUGAACUAUACAAGUUAUCCAACAUCUUUUGUCCAUUUGUAAACUUUAAAAUAACAUCACUUAGUUUAAUAUUCUUUUUCUUGAUUAUCUCAUUUUCCUUUUUCAAGUCAUCUAUAUAUGAUUUUAGAUGCUCGUGAGAAGUACUAUGUUUCUAAUUUGAUAAUGCAACUCUAUCAUGCAAUGCUUUAUUCUCUAAUUCUAGGCAUGUAAUCUUUACACUUAGAGAUUCAUUUUCAUUUGUGAGUUCUACCAUUUUCUUUUUAAUACAUGCAUUCUUUUCAUCAAUUUUUAUCCAAUCACCAUGUUAUUCCUUAAAAGCAUCAUAUAAUUCAUCAUAAAUAGGAUCACUUACCUCAUCAAAUUCGUCAAACGACUCAUUCCUAAUUGUCAUGAGAGCGAGCUUGGACAUCUCUUAUUGCUCUUCAUCACCACUUGUUUCCUCAUUUCUGGCAUCCUAUGUUGCCACCAUUGCCUUCUUCUUGAACUUGUUGAGAAGAGAACACUUUGAUCGUAUAUGUCUAGGAUUCUUACACUCAUAACAAGUGAUUGACUCUUCUUUCUCUUUUUAGUUUUUGUAAUUCCUGAAUCUUCUCCUCUCACUAAUUUUCUUAAAGAAUAUUUUAAACCUUCUGGCCAUUAUAACCAUGUCUUCAUCAUCACGCUCAACUUCCUCAUCACUCUCAUGUUUUGAUACUUUAAGUGCAAUGUUUUUCUUCUUCCUUUUCUUCAUUGUCUUUUUUUUACUUCCAAAUUUUUCUCAUAAGAAAUAAGAGAACCAAUCAAAUCAUCAAUAGGUAAGAUGUUUAAAUCCUUAGUUUCCUAUAUGGCAGUUCUUUUAGGUCUUUAAUAACUCUACGAAAUGAGAGUUCUCAUGAUACUUGUACACUUAUAUUAAUAUUACUUAGAGAGUAAAUGAUGUAUUUUAAUUGUAUUUUAAUUACAUUUGGCAUGACCAUCCAUUUUAGAUUAUUUUUAAUAAAUUGAGUUUGUUUUAAAUUAUUUUGUACUUAAAUUAUAUGCAUAAUUAUAGGUGACUGAAAGCUCAAAUUUUAGGGAUGAAAUACUGCUGCAAUAGACUUGCAGAGAUAAUAAAAAAACUUGGUUACAGAGGAGUUAAAAUAAGUCUGGAACAGUAAAGAUCUUAUAGAUGUUGCUGCAACAAUCCUGGAGCAGUAACAGACUGGAUUUUGCAUGCAACCACUAAAAGGUUGCAAGCUAAAGUUUUCAAAAAUGGAUGAUACGCCCUACACACUCUUAGUUGCCCUAAUCCCAAGUUUUAAAAGGAGCAUGCAUAAAAAGAAAAAGGAAGAGCCAUCACCCAAAGAGAAUACAGAGGAAAAUAAUAAGAAAACAGAAAGUAAGAGAUAGAUUCGAGGGUCGUAACAGAGGACUCAAGGUGAAAACAAAGGAGAAAUCACAAUGACCAAGCAGAACUCAGUUUUUCUUCUUAUUUUCUUGUUUUGUAUUUAUUUUUGGGAAUAUAUUUGAUGGUUAAAAUAGUUUUAUUUAUUAUUCUGGUAAAUCAUGAACUGAAUUCGUUUGUGAUUGAGUGAUAAACGAUCUUAAUGGUUAAUUGACUAGUACAUGUAUGUUGCUCUGAAUUUGUUAUAGCCUUUUCUCUUGAUUUUUAUUAUUAUAAUUUCGUAUUUCCUCUGACCGCCCAUUUGGUGGAAAUUAACUAAGAAAGAGCUUUAAAAAAGUCUACCUUAAUGGAACAAAUUAAGAUAAUACAUGGUUUUAGAUUGAGUUUCCCAAAUUGAGUAAAUCACAAUUUGAAUAGGGUCAUACUUGAUCUAAAAUUGGUGAAGAACUAGACAAAAUGAUUAAUCUUAUAGGGCAAUUAGAACCUAAAAAGUUUAAUGCUAUCUCUAAUGUUAGCAUAACAACUGAUCACUGUUAGGUUAUAUUUAGAUAUAAGAUAUCUAAACAGGCUAUAGCUGAGGAUACAUAAGGAAUUCUGCCCAGUGAUGUAGUAGAUACUGUACCAACAGGUUCUUAAUUAGAAAAACAGUCCACACUAUUAAGUGAGUUUAAUAAUUCAACUACUUUAUUCUCAUUGAUUACAUUCUUGUGUUUGACCUGAGAAUUUUCCUUAUUGUAUUUUUAUUUGAAUUAGUUCAUUAGUUUCAUUAAUUGUUUUAUUCCAAUUUAGAGUGAAACUGCACAGUUAAGAUUGUUAUAGCAAAUAUGAUAAGAUCAAUCCCUAUGGGGACGAUCUGAAUAUUCAUUAAUAUAUUACUUAUUAUGUACACAUGCACAUUAACACCCAUAGUAAUAGAAAUUAUCCAACAGUUUCCAUUUAAUUGGUAAAGACCAAAUGAUCUUCUUAACCUUUUCAUUAUUUGAAAAGGUUUUUCCUAGUGCUCCUAAUGUGUUCACAAUAUUUGUAAACCUAAUAUACAUAGAACAAAUACUUUCAUUUUGUUCCAUUUUGAACAAUUUAUAUUGUCUAGUGUAUCCACUAAACUUAGACUCUUUGACUUGAUUUGUGCCCUGAUAGACAACUUUAAGUUUGUUUUAAAUUUCCUGAGUACUUUCAGAACUAGACACUCUAUAAAACUCUUUCUUAUCAAGUGUACAAAAUAAGGCAUUCAUAGCCUUGGAGUUUAGAGACAACUUUUUCUUUUAUGUCUCACUCCAUUGGCUUGAUGAUUUGGGGAUAUUUUUCCCUUUUUUUAUUUUUGGUAAUGGGUACGAAUGGACCAUCAUUAACAAUUUCCCAAAUUUUGUAGUCUAAAGCCUGUAAAUAAAUUCUCAUACUAGUUUUCUAAUAAAGGUAGUCAUUUCCAUAAAAAAAUAGAGGUCUGGUAGUUGAUUAGCAUUCUCUAAAUGUGGAAUCAUUUUGAGUUGUCAUUGAUCUUUAACUCUAGGCGGUUAAAUCUAAAAAAAAAAAGUAGCUUACUCUGAUACCAAAUGAAAUUCUAACUAAGCAAUCCAAGAGGAGGUGAAUUGGGAUUCUAAAAAUUUAAGUAAUUAAAAUUUAAUGCGAUUUAAACAAAGAAACCAAAUUUGAAGUAAACAAAUUAAUGUAUAAUGAAAAAAUAAGGAGAUAAAGUAAGAGAGAGCAAACAGGCAAUUUUUACGUUGUUCAGCCAACUGUGCCUAUGUGUACACCUCCAAGUCACCGAGCUUGAGGAUUCCACCUUCAAAGCCUUCCAAGGCUUCAAGAAUUCUUACAAUUGACUUCCUAGGUAUCAAUCAACCUUUACAACAAGAGAUUAUCCCAAAUCUCUUAACCUUAGUGUUUCCCACACUUACAUUCACUAAAAAAUGAAUAUUACAAUUGGAUUUUUCUCUCACACAAUAUAUGUGUUUACAAAUGAAAGCUCAAUGAGUGAAUCAAUGGAAGUAAACACAUAUAUUGUGUCGAUCUGUUAAUGCCUAUAAGAUCACCAUUUUUAUUUGAGCAAGUUAUUGUUGAGUCGGAUUUUCAAAUUGUCAAAUUUUUAUUAUCUAAAUGUUGGAUAACCGUUAUCUUCCAGUGACUUGCAGAUAGAUAUCGACAUACCAUUUUUUAGAUGUCGAUCUGUCAUCAGUGUCCAGAGGUUAAACUUCAAUUCUACUCAAUGUCGGUUAAAUGUUUUCCCUUAACCAGUUAGUUAUUUUUAUCUAUAACUUGAACAUUAAAUUUUUGCUAGAUAUCGGUUAGCCGUUUAAACACUAGCGUUAAGCUGAUUUCAUCCAGAGAGUUUAUAAUCCUUUCUUAAUGAAGUCAAUUAGCCAUUUGCUAGUUUGCAGGAAAUCAUUUAUUAUUAGAAUUUUAUUCUAUGCUUAAUUUAUUACACGACUUAAGAAUUUUUGAUCCGUUUAACGACAUGUUCACACUCAGUCAUUUAAAACAAGUUUGUAAUUUUCAAAAUCAUUAUUAAGAAAACAUGCGUGUUAACAAUCUCCCCCUUUUGUAUGAUGACAAACUUUUUCAAGUAUUAUACUAAAAUUUUACUCCCCCUCAAUAUUUGCUCAAUAUAUAAUAAAUUAGCCUCACUUAUUUAUAAAUAAAGAAGUUCAUAAAGCGGUUCACUUAUUUCUCCCCCUUCAUCAUAAAAAAGAAAUAAAAUUGAGAUUGAAAUAGAAAUAGAAAGAUAGGCAAAGAAAUUACCCAUGUGGUUUUUAAAAAAUUUCAGCAGAACCUCUGCUUAAAAAUGGAUAAAUCCUCAAAAACAGAAACAAGUAAGCACUUCUAAAUAAUCAUCUCAAUUUCAAUCACAAACCUUAAUGAUCUCAAGUCUAGCAACAUAACAACAGACAUGCAUAAAUCAUUAAGCAUAAAAAUGAUCAACCAACCAAGAAAACAGGUAAACCUUGAUCACUAAAGACCUCGCCCCCGAGUGAUUUCCAAAGAUCCUUUUAUAAAUCUCUCUCGGCACAUAAUCUGCUUAAUCUUUAUCCAAGUAUCGAAGGAAAGGCAAUGUAUUCCCCAGCCUAUAUAAUACCUCGUCAAUCAAUAUGUACCUAGCUACUUGGCACUUGAGUUUUCUUGCUCGUACUUUGUCUUUCGACAAUGUUCCAUCUCAAAUAUUCGAGAUUAUUGCUUCCAUCAAUGAGUUAUACUUUUCUAUCCUCAUCACAUCUAUUUUUUGCUCAAUGUUUAGGGUGGGUUUAACUUCUACAGAAACUGACUUGGGUAUUGUUGCAUCUGACGUGGCAGCCAUUCUGGCCAAGAUAUCUAUUAAAAAAAAGUUUGUUCUCGAAAUCUGCUCGAUAUCGACAGCCUCAAAUUUCUCCAUCACCUGGUUAGUCUUCUUCAAGUACAAUUCCAUCUUUUUGCCCUUGGCUUGGAAGUUUAGGAGGUGAGAAUCUAUUUGAAUCCUCACUUAAUUUUGCUUGCACUGUAUAAGCUAGCUUCAAUCCUGCUAUGAAGGCUUUAUACUCUACAUGAUUAUUAGUUGCCUUGAAUUCAAACCUUAUAGCAUAUAAAACUUCUUCCCUUUCUGGGCUCCUUGAGAUCACCCCUGCCUCUGCUUCUUGUCCGCUGGAUGAGUCAUUAACUGUUAUUAACCAGAAUUUAUCCCUGUUACUCCUCUCAACUGCCUGAUCAUCAGUAGCUUUCUAGUAUAGCUCCAUGAGUUCUGUUAUAAAAUCUGCUAAUGUUUGUGCUUUGAUUGCUAUGUGAGGUUAAUAGCUUAUGUCAAACUCACUCAGCUCCACUAACUACUUUGCCUUCGAUUUAUACAUUUUUUGUCAAAGUAAUUUAUUCGUCAUCACAUUGAUUGAAUACACCUGAAAAUAUGGUCUUACUUUACGAGCAGCCGUGACCAUGGCUAAUGCCCAUUUCUACAUCUUAGGAUAUCUGAUUCUUGUAUCGAGUAAAGCUUAACUAGUAUAGUACACUGGGUACUAAAUUCUAUCCUCCUCUUGUUUUAGAAUUGAACUCAUGGCCCACUCAGACAUUGUUAGGUAUAAGUAUAAUGUGUCACCUUCUCAUAGUAUAAAUAACAAAGGUGUUUCGAGCAGAUACUUCUUCAACUUCUGAAAUGCUUUCUCGCACUCACUCAAUUUUCUUUCCUCUCUUCACGACCUGAAAGAAGACAUGACACUUGUCUUUUGCCUUUGAUAUGAACCGAUUUAGAGCUGCCAGUUUUCCAAUGAGGCUUUGUAUCUCCUUAAGUGAGCGAGGAGAUUUCAUCUCGAUAAUUGCUCGAAUCUUUUCAAGAUUAGCCUCGAUUUCUCUGUAGUUUACCAUGAAUCCCAAGAACUUCCCUGAGCUUACCCCAAACACACACUUUUCAGGGUUAAACAUCAUCUUGUACCUUUUCAGCAACUCAAAACUCUUCCAAGUGUCUCGUGUGUUUGACUGAAUUUUUAGAUUUAGUGAUCAUGUCGUCUACAUACACCUCUAUAGUGUGACCAAUGAGUGGCUUGAAGAUUUUGUUAACUAGCCUUCAUAUAUUGCACUUGUAUUCUUAAUGUCGAAAGGCAUUACCCUGUAAUAGAAAAACCUUGGAGAUUGUUAGCUUAUAUGGCUAUAAAAUGUUAUUUUAAUGAUAAGAAAUCACACGUUUUAGAUAAACAAAGAAUUACACAAUAUGUUUUUAUCACAAGAAAAUGAUUUUAUGAAAUUAGUUGUUUUCAAGUUUUUGGUUUAAAUUGAAAAGUUUUGAGAACUUUGAAAUCAACAAGUAUUGUUUUAAAAUUCUGGAAAUUAACCUUCAUAACUCUAUGAAAUGAGAGUUAUCAUAAUACUUUUAGGCUUAACUCAAGAUUACUUAAAGAGUAAUUGAUGUGUUUUAGUGCAAUUUUUAUUAUAGUUUGCAUCAGCAUUCAUUUUAGCUUAAGUUUAAUUAAGUUUGCUUGAUUUCGAAUAAUUGUGUGCUUAAAACAUAUGAAUAACUAUAGGUAAUCGAGAGUUCAAAUUUCAUGAGAAGGAUGUUGUAGUAAUGGGCUUAUAAAAAAGACAAAAGAAUAUGGCUAUAGAAGAAUUGGAGCAAAUCUGGAACAAUGCAAAUGUUGUAGCCAUUGCUAUAACAACCAGUGUUGUAGCAAUCCUGGAACAACGACAAAGAAAAUCUUACGCAAAACAAUUAACAUAUUGUGAUAUGUAGUUUCCUAAUCUGGAAGAUGCGAGCCCUGGACAUCCGUUUGCCCUAAUUUUGAGCUAUAAAAGAGGCACACAUGCAAAAGAAAGAGGGGAUAAAAAAGAAAAAGAAACAAAGGAAAAAUAAAUUUUGAGGGCGAGAUUCAAGGCUGCACCAGUGGAGAAUUUGCGGGAAUCAAUUGGAAUUCAGUAUUUCUUAUUCUUUUCUUGUUUUCUUAUUUAUUUCUUGAUCAUAAAGAUGUAUUAGAUGGCUGAGACUAUAUUGUUUACUUUUUUUUCACAAACUAUAAACUAAAUUUACUUGUGGUUGAGUGAUAAAUAAUUUUAAUAGAUCAUUGAUUAAAUUUAUGUGUUGCUGCAUGUUUGUUAUACAUUUUGUUGUGAUAGUAUUUAUUUAAAGUCAUUAUUUUGGCUAACCACCUAUUUAAUGAUACAAGCUAGGAAAGAGCCACAAAGGGCCUAUUUUAGUGGAACAUAUUAGAGCAAUACUUGGUCUUAGAUUGGGUUUCCUGAGUUGAGUUUAACUCGGGCCCAAAAGGGUCAUACUUAAUCUAAAAUUAAUGAUGAACUAGAUAUAGUGAUUCACCUUGUAGGGUAAAUUGAACCUAAACGUGUAAUGUUAUAUCUUAUGAUGACAUAACAAUUAGUCACUGUUAGAUUACAUAUAGAUAUAAGACAUCCAACAUGCGAUAGUUGAAGAUAAAUGAGGAUUCUUCCCAUUGUUGUAGUAGAUGCUGCAGCAACUGAAUCAAAAUUUACAAAAAAUAGUCAAGUCUGUUAGAGAGUUUAAUCACUCAACUAUUUCAUUCCUAUUGAUUGUAUCCUUGUGCUUGACGUUAGAGUUUGCUUUUUUGCAUAUUUUCUUUUUGUAUUUUAUUAGGUAGUUUAUUAGUUUAAUUAUUCAAUCUACUUUCAAUUAAGAUUGUUGUAGUAAUUUCCUUAACAUCAAUUCAUGUGGAGACGAUCUUGAAUACUUAUCAUUAUAUUACUUGUUGUGUACACUUGCACACUGACACCCAUAGCAUUUGAAAUUAUACUAACAAUUGUUUAGCCCCGUUGCCAGGGAAUAAUCGUUUAUUGAAAAUUGUGAAUUUAAUCUAAAUAGUGCUACACAUUAAUCUUAUUUUAAUUAGCUUAUUUUGUUGACAGGAAACUCUUGCAUGCGCAAAUACAAACCUAUUGAGUUUUAAUUUGAUCUAGAGAUUAAGAAGAGAACAUAAAAAUUCGAAAGCUGUUGUAGUAAUGGAUGACUUAGAUGAUGUGGAAAGCUUAAAUCAUCUUAGAGAAAUACAGCUAGUUAAUGGUCGAGAAGGGUAGAAUGGACAAAAUGAUUAAGGAUGACACAACUUAAAAGUAAAUUUUAACUCCCAAGUAUAAGAGUGUCUUGUUGUAUUAUAACUCGGUGAGUCCAAGGUCGAUCCACAAAGAAAAGAUUUAAUUAGUUUAUUUUACUUUAUCUAAAAAUUGAAAUUAAAACUUGAAUAUAAACAACUUAAUUUAAAUGAAACUAUGGAAUUGAACUAGUUAGGGUUAUGGAUCCACUCUUAGAAAUAAAUAAAACUUAAUAAAUUAUUUUUGCCAAUUUUUUUUUAGAUUUGUUACCCAAAAGAUUAAUUAUACAAAUUAUUAUUAUUUUCCCUUUAAUUUUAUGAUGGAUUAAGUAUUUAUUGUGCCAAAAUUUAAUUUGUCUACAAUAAGUCAAAAUACCAUUUCACCAUGUCUUAUAUUAAAAUCUUAAGAAUUUAUUGUGCCAAAUUCAUUUGUUUGUUUACAAUAAAUCAAAAUUUUAAAAUAUAAAACAUGUAUAAAAUUAAAUAGAAAAUAAUUUAAUUUAUAAAAUUAAAAAUAGAAUCUGAUUAAAUCAUAUUAUUUCCUAAGAGUUUCACCUUCCCCUAACUAAUAUUAUUUAGUUAAGCAUAAUUAAAAUAAAAAGAAGUAGUAAAAUUGAAUUACUUAUAAUUAAAAGAAAUAAAAACAACUAAAAUUGGAAAUAAAACUAAUUUUAUUAAUGAAAAUAAUUAUACAAAAUAUUAAAAACACACCUGGAAAUCAAGAUUACAAGGAGAUGGAGAGAAUUUGAGAAGAAGAGAGUUGUAGAGAGAUGAUUAAAACAUAAAAAUGAGGCCCUAUUUAUAGAAAAAUAAAUUCAUAAUCCAGUGCUUUGCGGUCCAUUAUAGGCUUCAUGCAUGUGCUCCUCACAACCCUUAGAUCAAGAUCCAAUGGUUGGUCAAACUUCAAAAGUCAACAUCACACGUGGCAUCAUUUGACUCGUCCGAUUUGCCCAAAGAACGGUUGAGAUUUGGCGGGUUAAUGGGUGGAUCGGGUCGACCCGAAUACAAAGAUUCAGAUCCACCAACUUGCUUCACCAACCAUUGCCACGUGGCACAAUCAUGGCCAUUGAAUCAUGAACGGUUGAGAUUUAGUCAAAAUUGCCAGCUAUCCCAUGCACUCAUAUCUAUUGUAAGCUCAUUUCAUCAUCCAAUCAGUGCUCGGUCAACAGGAAAAGUCAACUUUUUUUACACAAGCCCAAUUUUAAGCCGAUCUUGACUGAUCUUAAAGUUUUCGGACCUCCGAAAUCUAAAUUUGACCUCCGUUUAUCUGUUUGGAGCCUCGAAGUACGUGAAAUUAAUAUUUUUCCUAAUAAACACAUAAAAAUACACAUAAUUAAAUAUAUUGAAAACAUAAUUCAUAAUUCAUAAUAUAUUACAUAAACACAAAUAUAAAUUAUAACAUAAGCAUAAAAUAACAUAUUAUCGCUUGAUAAUUAAACAAUUUUUAAUACUAAUCAAGGGACAACUAGGAAAUAACAUCAUAUACAUGGCAAACGAUAGAGAUAAAGCCAUUAGAGACUAUACCGUGUUGACUACUCAAACCAGUAAUAUUUCAAAUAUUGCAAAUAGUAGGGCAAUUUAAUGGGUUACCCUCAGAGAACCUUUACCUUCAUCUCAAGCUACUUUUGGAAGUUAGUGAUGCUUUAAAAAUUACUGGAGCAUCAUAGGAUGCGUUAAGAAUCAGACUUUUCCCAUAUUCAUUGAGAGAUCGGACACGAGCAUGGUUGAACUCUUUACCACCAGACUCCAUCACAACAUGGAAUGAUUUGGUUGAAAAAUUCUUGAUGAAAUACUUUCCACCAACCAUAAAUGCAAAAUUGAGGAAUGAAAUGACAUUUUUCCAUCAACUUGAAGAUGAAAGUUUGUAUGAUGCAUGAGACAGAUUUAAGAAGGUACUCAGAAGAUGCCCUCAUCAUGGUAUUCCUUAUUGCAUACAAAUGGAAACUUUCUACAAUGAGCUAAAUCCAAGCACUAGAUUGAUGAUUGAUACUUUAGCUAAUGGAGCUUUGUUGUCUAAAUCCUACAAUGAAGCUUACGACAUUUUGGAAAAAAUUGUUAACAACAAUUAUCAAUGACCAUCAACUAAACAAGCUGUAACAAGGGGAGCAACAUGAGUUCAUAAUGUGGAUGCAUUUACAGCACUAUCAGCUCAAGUAACUUCACUAACAAACAUGGUAAAAGCCAUGACCAAUGCUCUAGUAACUGUCCAACAAGUUGCUAAGGUUUUUUGUGUUUGUUGUGGAGAGAGACGCUUGUUUGAUAAUUGUCUCGGGAUUCCAGCUUCAAUCAAUAAUGUGGGCAAUUAUAAUAGACAAUAUCAGAACAAUCCAACUCAAAUACCUAUAAUCCCGGAUGGAGACAGCACCUAAAUUUCUUAUGGAACAACUAGACUCAACAUGUUGCAGCAUCCAAUGAAUAGACGUGCACAUCCACUAAGAUUUCAACAGCAAAAUUAAGGACAGAGAACUGCCAAUAAUGAUCAACUCAGUUCUCUUGAAGCUUUGCUUAAGGAGUACAUUGUGAAAAAUGAAGUAAUUGUCCAAAGCCAAGCUGUAACUAUGAGGAAUCUAAAAAAUCAGAUUAGGUAACUUGUUACAACAAUAAGGAACAGACCUCAGGGCAGUCUACCUAGCAACACAGAAGAUCAAAGAAAUGAAGGAAAAAAACAUUGCAAGGUGAUUAACUUAAGGUCUGAAAAAGAUGUAUUCUUAUUGGUAUGCCAAGGAGAAUGAUAGAACCUAACUUAACCCAAGAGGAAACUUAAGUUAAAGGAGAGCCUCAACAACCCACUUUACAACAUACUUGUGAGGUAUAAUUUUCUCACUUAAAUAUAGUAGAUUUUAUUUUAAGCUAACAAGCCCCUAAAGUUUAUAAUAUUUAAUUUUAAGGAAUGAUGACAUAAGUAAUGACAUAAUAAAUGAUGACAUAAGCGAUGACAUAAGUGAUGAUGUGAGAAGAAGUAUGUAGAAAAAGUUAAGACUUCUAGAAUUUAGUAAGUUCUUUAUGAAGAUUAGUCUCAACCAUUGAUCAAGAGUUGUGGUGGCAAAAUCCUAACCAUCCAUUAGUCUUAAGAAAUUUUAUAAAUACCCCCCACCACCUCUCAUUUUCAAUGCAACCUAAAAAUUUCAUUCCCUUCUAUUGUAAGUCAUAAUAACAAGAGUAGAGGAAUCCUUAAUUUAGAAAGGUCUAGAGAAGUCAAGAUUAAGAGGUAAGUAACAUCUUAACUGUAAUGUAAGGACAAAAUUCUUUUUAUACUUAAAUUCAUUUUUAACAAUUCCUUUAUAUUAUGAUGGCUAUUAUAAUGUGAUUAGUUAUAUCUUUAUAUGGUCAGCCUUGCUACCUAAUAUGUGAUGCUAUGGUGGGCUCUGCUGCCUAAUAUGUGAUGUUAUUGUCGGCUCUGCCGCCUAAUAUAUGAUAUGUUGAGUGAUAGAAAGUGUAGAUUUAUAAAGGAGAAAAUUCUUAUUUUUCAUUUCACGUUUCACUGACGUCCCUACUUUUAGUUAUUUAAGUCUCUUAUGAUUUAAUUAUGUGUGUUUUAUUUUUAUUAAGUAUUUUAUGUAUUUUAGGGACAUCAUGGUCAUUUCACAAUGAAGGAGAGAUCAAACAGCGAAACAGACAUUACUUUUGAACUCAGGACAGUCAAAAACCUUAGGAAGAGUAUAAAAGGAAAAAUGGCAUUGUUCACAUGUACGGUACUGUCCAUGUUACUGUUCACGAUACUGUUCACAUUUACGGAACGAUGACGUGGCAUUGAUUGAAGAUAUGGCAUUGACUAAUGAGGUGUCACGAUUCUAUUGGACUAAAAUUAUUAUAUACUGUUGAUCUGUGACGUGGCAGCAUGUUAAUGGACUAAAAAUCGCACGUAUAGUACAUGCAUAUACACAGAAUUAUUUACAACUAAACCGCGUCACUAUUCAAACCGUGUGGUCAAACCAUGUCACUAUUCAAACCGCGUGGUCAAACCAUGUCACUAUUCAAACCGUGUGGUCAAACCAUGUCACUAUUCAAACCGCGUGGUCAAACUGCGUACGGUUAACUGAUGACAUGGCACAAUCAUGAGUGUCAAAAAUGUUUUUAAUCUGAUGGUCAUGAUUUACUCAGUGUAUCUAUAAAAAGAGGGCUCUUCCCCCCUAAUUUAGCAUCCCUGAAUUCAUUUUUUGAGUUCAAUUUUCUGUAAUUUCUUCUCCAUCUUGUAUUUUCUACAUAUUUUAAUAAAUUCUCAUUUUACCCAUGGUUCAAUUAUGAGUAGCUAAGUUUCUUUCAAGCUUGAGUUAAAGGUGAAGUCUCAACAUGUGCUUUAGGCUUUAUUUGGUAAAUUUACUUUCUCUUUCCCCCUGAUUUUUAUGGAUGUUUUGACUUUUCGUAAACAGAUUGUAACAAUCUUAUCUAGAUACCGCACUGGUUAAACCGGCUCCAUAGUACAAGGUUAUUACUAUUUGACAUGAUAAGCCCUUAGCACUAUAUUGAUUAGAGUAUGGUUCAUAAGGAGUGGAAGCCUCCCUCAUGAUUUAAUUGGCAUUAAUAAAGAAUAUUUAACCCAUAGUGCAUGUUGAUGCAGAUCCAGAUACCCAAGUACUUCAUUUCAAUAGAAUUCGCUUUAAUUUAUUCCCGUCAUUCUAAUUUAAAAUUUAGGAUAUUCCAAAUCAUUUUCACCACAAAUUCAACUACCCACUCAUAAAAUUAAUUAUACAUAUAAUUAAAAUCCACCUCUUCGUGGGAUCGAUACUCGUCACCAUUGAUCUAUUCUACAAUAUAUUCGUGCACUUACAAGUUCAAUAAAAUUUGCACAAUAUGAUACUUAUAUUUAAUUAUGCUAUGGUCAGUUAUUCUGCCUAUACUAAAGACUCUUAUUUUUAAAUAAUGUUGUGUGUUAAUUUUAUUAUGCAUCGAGGAAUUUCAAAUGUCAUAAGGUGCAUUGGAUGCAUGCAUAUAAUGGACUACAAUAUGAAGAAGACGUUUUAGAAAAUGAAUUUAUGAAAAAUAGGUGGUUGUACUACCAGGUGGCAAAGUUCUAAAGAGGAAAAGCCCUCAAAGCUAAGUUGAAAAAAAUCUUUUGGGGACGACGUUACGUAACGCCCAAAAGAUCAACUAAUGAGGCCCAAGGGCAUUUUGUUUAAAGAGUAAAAGUGUCAACCUUGUAGUGCAACAUACCUAGGGCCCAAAUAAAGUUGUUUUGUAUUUUCUAAAUUUAUUUUAAGAGCUUAAUAUGGUCAUCUAUAUGUAUCAUACUUUAUGCAUGCAUCAAAGUGUUAUCUUACUGGGCAUUAACUUACUAAGUCCUUAUAUUGCAGGUAACGAUGAGUAUAGUAAGUUGGCGCCAAGUCCUAACCAUGACGAAGUGCAUAUGGGCAUAAUAGACAUUGGGAUUUUAUAACGGGCUUAGCUUUAUUUCAAUAAAAAUAAACAUCUUAGUUUUGUGUAAAAUAAAAUUUUUAUACUAAGAAGUUUCUGUAUGACUCUUACUUUUUGUAAGAAAGUUUUGUUUGUUGUAAACUUUUAGAAUUCGUAUUUAUAUUAAAAGUAACUGUGUUUUUAAGCAUUUUAAAUAAAUAAUAUAGUGGAGUGUUACAAUACUGGUGAGAGUAGUCAAACUACAACAACUACAGAAAGAAGUGAAUCAGUGCUUGUUGAAGAAGAUGCUGCAGCACCAGUAGCGACAAACUAGAGUAGAUCAAAAGAACAACAACCUCCAUUACUAGUUGCAGCCUAGCAAUUUAGAUACUCACCACUUUUCCUACAAAGAUUUUAGAAGCAGAAACAAUAUAAACAAUUUAACAAAUUCCUAGAAGUGUUAAAACAAUUGCGUAUUAACAUUCCUUUUGUGGAAGCAUUGGAACAAAUGCCAAAUUAAGUGAAAUUUUUUAAGGGUAUUCUAGUAAGGAAAAAAAAAAGCUUGGAGAAUUUGAACCUGUUGCUUUAACACAAAAAUGCAACCACAUGCUUCAAAAUAAAAUUUCUCAAAAAUUAAAAGAUCUAAGGAGCUUUACAAUUCCAUCUUCUAUUGGAACUAGGUAUAAUGGUAGAACACUUUGUGAUUUGGGGGCAAGCAUCAAUCUCAUGCCCUUAUCUGUAUUCAAGCAAUUGGGAGUGGGUGAAUACAUAUCAACAAUAGUAACUCUACAGCUGGCUAACAGAUCUCAUGCCUAUCUUGAAGGAAAAAUUAAAGAUGUGUUAAUAAAGGUAGAUAAAUUUAUUUUUCCAAUGGAUUUCAUUGUAUUGGACUUUGAAGCAGACAAAGAAGUGCCAAUUAUUCUUGGUAGACCUUUCUUAGCCACUGGAAAGACUCUCAUUGAUGUGUAAAAAGGAAAAUUGGUCGUGAGGGUAAAUGAUCAAUAAGUCACAUUCAAUUUGCUGGAUGCUAUGAAAAAUCCGGAUGAGAUUGAAGAUUAUAAUUUCAUCAUUGUUGUGGAUAUUGCUAUGACAGAAAGGUUAAACAGUUGCUGUAGAAAAGAAGAGAUCAGUACUGCUGACUUUGAAGAGUUUGAAGAAAAUGAUACUGCAACAACAAACACAACAUGGCUAGAGGAAAAACAACCAGUGAGGCAUGACAAACCUUUUAAACCUCUAAACCUCUAAAAAAGGGAAGUAAAACUAUUUGUACCAUUUAUUGAAUCACCUUUUAUUUUGGAAUUGAAAAUCUUACCUUUACAUUUAAAAUAUGUUUAUCUUGGCAAAACAAUACACUUCCCGUAAUAAUUUCGUCAUAUUUGAAUGCAGGUCAAGAGAAAAGCCUAAUAGAAGUAUUGAGGAGAUACAAGAAAGCUAUUGGAUGAACCAUGACAGAUAUGAAGGGAAUCAACCCAUCUAUAUGCAUGCAUAAAAUUUUACUAGAAGAUUGCUACAACAAUUCAAUAGAACAACAAAGGCGAUUAAACUUAUCAUGAAGGAAGUUGUGAAGAAUGAGAUCAUAAAAUGGCUUGAAGUUUGCUCUCAUCUCAUUUCGUAGUUCAUCAAUGGUGCGAUUUUAUUGGUUGAUCAUGGAAUGAGUAAGAUUCUUGAAAUUUUGGAAUGCAUCUUAUCAUGGUCUGGUUUGAAAGUAGUUCGGGUUUUGAUUGUAUGGUCUAAAUGGUGGCUAAGAGGCUUGAGAAAUUUGAGGAAUUUGUUGCAUUGUUGGAGCUAGAGCUGGAGUUGCUGAUCCAUUCUGUUGGAACCCUUGACACCAUGAAAAAUUAAGAUGGUCUCUCCAUCCAAGAUUAUUGUUGUGCAAAUUUUAAUGUACUCGCAAGCGCACGAAUCUAUUGUAGUAUAGACUAAUGGUGACGAGUGUUGAUCCCACGAGGAGGUGGAUUUUAAUUGUGUAUAGAAUUAAUUUUGUAAAUCAGGGAUUGGAUUUAUGGUAGAAAUGAUUUGGAAUAUGCUAAAACUUAAAUUAAAAUGGCGAGAAUAAAUAGAAGAUAGAUCUAUUGAAAUGAAGCACUUGGGUAUCCGGAUCCGUAUCAACAUGCAUCAUGGGCUAAAUAAUCCUUAUUAAUGCCAAUUAAAUCAUGAGGGGGGAAUCCACACCUCAUGAACCACGCUCUAAUCAAUAUGGUGCUAAGGGCUUAUCGUGCCAAAUAAUAAUAACCUUGUACUAGAGAGCCGGUGUAACCAAGGCGGUAUCUAGACAAGAUCAGUAUUAUUUGUCGACGAAAAGUCAAAUCAUCCACAAAAACUAGAGGGGAAAAGAAAAUAAAUUUACCAAAUAAACCCCUUGAUACAUGUUGAGACUUCACCUUCAACCCAAGCUUGAAAGAAAAUUAGCUACUCAUAAUUGAACUAGGGGUAAAAUGGGAAUUUAUUAAAAUACGUAGAAAAUACAAGAUGGAGAGGGAAUUACAGAAAAUGGAUCCCAAAAAUGGAUUCAGAGCUAUCAAAUUAGGGGAGAGAGGCCCCCUUUUUAUAGAUACAUGGAGUAAAUCAUGGCCAUCGGAUUAAAAACAGUUUGGACGCUCAGGAUUGCGCCACGUCAUCGGUCAACAGUACGCGGUUUGACCACACGGAUGAACAGUAACACGGUUUGACCUGGAUGAACAGUAACGCGAUUUGGUUGACAAUAAUCCUGUGUGAUGCAUGUACCGUACGCGAGAUUUUUCGUCCACUGAUAUGCUGCCACGUCACCAUCAACAGUACAUAAGAAUUUUAGCCCAACAGGAUCGUGACACCUCAUCAGUCAAUGCCACGUCAUCAGUCAAUGCCACGUCAUCGAUCCGUCUAUGUGAACAGUAUUGUAAACAGUAACGUAGACAGUACCGUACACGUGAAUAGUACCGUACAUGUGAAUAGUGCUAUUUUUCCUUUUAUGCUCCUCCUAAGGUUUUCGACCGUCCUGAGUCCAAAAGUGAUGUCCGUUUUGCCGUCUGAUCUCUCCUUUAUUGUGAAAUGACUAUAAUGCCCUUAAAAUACAUAAAAUACUUAAUUAAAAUAAAACACAUGUAAUUAAAUCACAAGAAGGUUAAAUACAUAAAAGUAAGGGUUGUUAGUAAGACUUGAAAUGUAAAAUGACGGUUUUCUCCUUUAUAAAUAUGUAUUUUCUAACACUCAACACACCCCCCAACCAGCUUAUUGCUAGUCCCUAGCAAAUAAAGCGAAAACAAAAUUCAAAUUCAAAAUGAUUUUUUUUUUUUUUUUAGAAACACUCAUGUUUAUUCAAUCAGAUUAAUGAUAGCAAUCAAAUAAAAGUAUAAGCAUUAUCUCCAAUUUAAAGCAACAUCACACCCACAUCAACCAUCCACAUGAAUCAGCCCAGUACACUUUGGUAUAGCUACUUUCAAAAAUGACAUGUCAAAUCCCAAAAUCUCACUGGAAGUAGUGACACUCUCACAAAGAAAUUAAAACCAAUAAAAAUAGUCACUCCAAUUAAUGGUAAUUGAGAGAGAAAAUAAUAAAGAAGUGAUAUCACAUGCUCUCACCAAGAUGAAAUAAAUAUGCCCUCAGCUUAGAAAUAAUACGAUCUCAAGUCAAACAAAAAUGCUAGUCAACCCAAUUUAUUUAUCUUUUUUUUUUCUUUUAUUUAUUUAUUUAUUUUUAUUAUGCAUCACUACAUCUUUUUAGCCCAUAUAACUAGCUUUUACUUCAAACUAUAGUUCCCUAAAAUCAAGAAGGACUUUUAUUAGGAUGUAACGUAGGCUAGGGAUAUGGCUAACAAAGAAAGGAAAUAAGGAAAACAAAGUGUAUGUUUGAGAAAAAUGCAGAGAAAUUUUUUUUUUUUUUUUAAAGUUGCAAGGUGGAUUUCACCUAUUAUUGUUAUUUUUAUUCUUUUGAAACAACAACUUUUGUUUUUUUUUUUCUUUUUGCUUUUAUUUGGCAUAACUUCACUGAACAACAUAAUUAUUUACAUUUUCUCAAACAUAAAUAGGUGAUGGAACUUAUAAGACAUCGGGUAAUACUCCAAAUUGGAGUGGGUCAAGAGGAUAAGUUGACAAAGAAAAGGUUUUUUUUUUUUUUUUUUUUUUAAGGCUCAAAAGGGUUAACUAUGGAUAUUUAAUAAAAGGGAUGGCUAGAAAGGCUCAAACGGAUCAAAGAUGGCUUUUCCAUCGUCUUUUAGGGCUCUAAAUAAUCAUCCAUAUCUACUAGUUAAACGGGCCUCCAAAUGUAGCAACACAAUUUUUUUUUUUAAUUUACCAUUUUUUAAGGGUUAACUCAAAAGAAAUCUAGAGAUCGUGUAUAAAAUAAUAAACUGCUAAGCUGUAUAGAGAAUGGGCAAAAGGGUUACUCUCCAAGAAAAUAAUAGGCUCAACAACUCACUUGGCACUUAUUUAUGACAUGUUCAUUCCUUCAAGCAACUCAUAUUUGUCUCCGACAUCAACAUGUAAAGUAGCAAACAUAGCGUAACAUCACUAUUCUAAACAUGAAAGGAAAAUACAAAUACUAAAAUUUGAAAUUAAUCAUGUCAUCCAAUGUUAAAAUAAAUAACACAAUUUUUUUUUUUAAACAACAUUCUACCCCCCAACCUAUUCUAAACAUGAAAGGAAAAUAUGCAUGCAGAAAUGUGAAAAUGAUGCAUAAAAACUAAUUAGAAAAGUUACACUUAAAAUGAUAGAAAACGAAAUGGUUUUUUUUUUUUUUUUUUAAACUUAGAAGAUGCGUUUCUAGAGGCAAUACACUCCAUAUUCAGCCAUGUUCGACUCAAAAAUUUGAAAAUAUAUAUUUAUAAAGGAGAAAGAGGAAGAAAAUUGUUUUUUUUUUUAAACGAUGAAGAUGCGUUUCUAGAGUAACUACACUCCAUAUUCAGCCAUCUUCAACACAAAACGUUAGCAACAGUUAGUUUCUACAAUAAAAAAUCAGUAAAAACUUAACCAAGAUUCCACAAUUGUCGACUAUUCCCUCCCCCAACAGAACGAAACAUUGUCCUCAAUGUUUUAAAGGAAAGAAGUAGAGUUUAGAAGACAUCACCUGGGUGGUGCAACACAAAAGAAAAUAUUUACAGGCGGAGAGUUAAAUCUAAUUUGUACUUCUUACUGCGGCUACUGUUACCAUCAUUAUUUGGUCGCUCCAACACAAAGGUCCAGGGGUCUGGCUCCGGUUUAUAAGCUUGUAACAUAUCAAGUAGCUCAUUAGCAGUGUAAGCACAAAUAAAGAGUUUUUUCACAUUAGAAAGAAUGAAAUAGUUUUUUAUUGCAUGGUUAAGAAAUGCGAUAAAGCCAUCAUAAAAGUUAUUGACAUUUAACAAACCGAUGGGUUUCUGGUGAAUGUGUAGAUGGGCCCAAGAUGCUAGUGUCAUAAGUGCCUCUAGUGUUGCAAGAUCUCCUGGAAGGAAAAUAAAAGCAUCAACAUGAUUAAGCAUUUCAGUUAUUUUUUCUUGCAUACCUGAGACGACUAACUCUUCUCCAGUCGAUGAGUCAGAAGAACUGCCCAAAGGUUUUAGGGCUCUUGGGAUGAUGCCUAGCACUUGACUUCCUCUGAUAAAAGCUGCUUCUGAGACCAUUUUUGGUAACCCUCGAUUACCUCCUCCAUACACCAAAUGUAAUUUUCUCGCUGCUAUACUUCGACCAAGAUCUAUGGCUGCCUCCACGAACUCUUUAUGUUUGCCAUAGGUAAAUCCAGAAAGCACACAAAUGUUCUUGAAUUGUCUAUUGGGAGUAGCUGCCAUUGUGAUACUUCUCAAAAAUAAUUUGUGAGUACUUGACAAAAAUUAAAUCACAUUUAAGAAUCUUGGUGACAGUGGAUCACAGCUGUGAAUGAGGUAACAUGUCAGUGUCAAAUAACGCGUAAAGCACGUGGCUCGCGAGUCAAAAAGGAAAUAGUAAAAAGGAAAAAGCAAACAGUAAUAAAAUUAUUAAAGACAAUAAUGCAAUCGAUAAAACAACAGUAAAAUAAAACAACAGUAAAGUAAAAGGAUAUUUACAGGUAGUUGCGACUGUGGCUCACAUCUUCCUCUGGUUUUACGUCCAGAAACGGUUUGAACGCCCUCUAUGGGUCGAGGAUGGGCUUCCCAUCCAGUUUUCUUAUAAACUGGCAAACAGGGUCGUUUAUAGUCAGAUUCCUAAGACUAUAUCGUGCAUGCUCUUUCUGGAAUAAUGGUCAUAACUGGAGAAUCGCUCCUUGCACAUAUCCACUGGGAUGCGUUUCAAGAGACAAAAGAAUAUCAUCCAAUGACUCCUUAUUCAAGCCAUCCCUAAUGAAUUGAAUCUUAUAUUCCCUGUUAUCAGACACCAUUCCUAAAGAACAUGGGUUUUUAUCGCAUCUCAUUCUGGCACACUUAUGACAAGCAACAGAAAUUCUUUGAGCUCGUCGUUUUCGUGCAUAAUUUCCUUUACCACAACCAGGCAUGUAUGCAAUAAAUUUUGGAGGUAACUCACCUACCAAUCGUACUUUAGCCUCGAUUAACCAACGGAUGUCAGCAGGUAUGUUAUUCCUCAUGAGCAAUCGCAUGCGUUCGGACCGGGCUUUAUAGAUUGUAAGGAGGGCAUUCUGAGGAAGUGAAGGGAAUCGCUUGUGAAGCUUUGCUAGAAUCUCGUUUCUAUCCAUACCUUCGCCUUAGAAUAUCAGUUAUUAUGGGAAACUGAAGUAACCGACUUGAUUGUCACGGAGUACCGUUAUCCGCCACUUCACCGGGGUAACAAACUAAAGCACACAAACAGAAAAACAAAUCAAAACACACAAAGAAAAUUAAAAUCGUCCUCUUAUUGAAUUUACCUCAAGCUCCAACUGGAUGUCGUAAACACUUCUCUCAAUAUCUCGGAGUUGGCUUUCUAGAUUCUCAACAUAGGCUACUAACUCUGGUGGUUGAAGAGCCCAAAUGCGAUGUGUUUUACAAAAUUGAAUCUGCCUUUUGAGAUGAGUUAGUUUUAACACGUUGAAGUGGUUUAAGAAUGUUCAGGAGGAACGGUCUAAGUAAGGUACUCAUGAUUAAAAAUGAUAAGAGAAAACUUAAUUGUUAAACAAACACACUUAUGCAAAAAUAAUUUCAAUUAGCAAAAGAAUAAUAAAAAGAAAUAAAGAAAAAUCAAAUCAACGAAAAGAAGAAUAAAAAUCAAUUCAAAUCUGGUGGGUCACUCAAAUUUAUUUCGGUGUCUUCUCCAUGUGGUUGGUAUUCUAGAUAUGACUUUAAUCUUUGACCAUUAACUUUAAACGUGACACCGUUCUUUGGGUCCUUAAUUUCAAUUGCCCCAUGUGGAAAAACAGUAUGAACAAUAAAGGGACUAGACCAUCGAGAGCGUAACUUACCUGGGAAUAGGUGCAAGCGAGAAUUGAAUAAAAGCACUUUCUGACUUGGAGUGAACGAUUUUCUCAUAAUUUGCUUGUCAUGAAAGACUUUCAUUCGUUGCUUGUAAAUUUUGGCAUUUUCGUAUGCAUCAUUGCGAAUUUCUUCAAGUUCUGCCAGUUGUAAUCUUCUUUCUGAGCUGGCUUGCUGCAUGUCAAAGUUGAAUUUCUUGAUGGCCCAAUAUGCACGAUGCUCAAGUUCCACAGGUAGGUGGCAAGCUUUUCCAUAUACUAGCCUGUAGGGUGACAUCCCAAUCGGGGUCUUGAAAGCCGUUCUAUAUGCCCAUAAUGCAUCAUCAAGUCUUAAUGACCAAUCUUUUCUGUCUGGCCUCACCGUCUUUUCUAAUAUGUGCUUUAUUUCUCGAUUGGAGAUCUCAACUUGGCCACUGGUUUGCGGAUGAUACGGGGUUGCCACUUUGUGUGUGAUUGAAUACUUUGUCAAAAGAGCUUUGAAUGCUUUGUUACAAAAGUGGGCACCACCAUCACUGAUUAUUGCUCGAGGGAAUCCAAAGCGCGAAACAAUGUUGCUUUUCAAAAAUCCUAUCACCACCUUGUGAUCAUUGGUUCUACAUGGAAUUGCUUCUACCUAUUUUGAGACGUAGUCAACACCAACCAAUAUGUAUUAAUGGCCAAAAAAAUGGGGAAAUGGUCCCAUGAAGUCGAUACCCCAUACGUCAAAAAUCUCAACCACUAAAAUUGGAUUUAGUGGCAUCAUGUUCCUUCGUGUAAUGCUCCCCAUUCGUUGACACCUAUCACAUGAAGAACAAAAAGUGUAAGCGUCUCGAAAUAUAGUUGGCCAAUAGAAACCACAUUGUAAAACUUUAGUAGCCGUUUUCUUAGCACUGAAAUGGCCUCAACAAGGUUGUUCAUGGAAAAAUGAAAGGAUAUUCUGAAUUUCACUUUCUGGGACACAUCGUCUAACAAUUUGGUCUGCACAAUACUUGAACAAAUAAGCGUCAUCCCAAAAGAAAUUCUUUAUUUCCGCAAAAAAUUUGGUCUUGUCUUGCUUGGUCCAAUGCUCUGGAAGUUUACUUGUAACAAGAUAAUUAACUAUAUCAACAUACCAAGGUAAUACUUCUACACUCAUCAAUUGUACAUCUGGAAAUGACUUAUUCAAUAUUAAUGGCUCUGUAAUUGUGUCAAAAUGGAGACGAGAGAGAUGAUCCGCCACAACAUUUUUUGUCCCUUUCUUAUCUUUGAAUUCCAAGUCAAAUUCCUGCAAAAGUAACACCCAACGAAUUAGUCUAUCUUUUGCAUCUUUCUUUGUGAGAAGAUAUUUAAGAGCAGCAUGAUCUGUGAAUAUAAUUAUUUUAUAACCAAUGAGAUAAGAUCGAAAUUUCUCUAAUGCAAACACUACUGCUAGCAUUUCUUUUUCAGUAGUUGAAUAGUUCAACUGUGCAUCAUUCAAUGUCAUACUAGCAUAGUAAAUAACAUGGGGAAUUCAAUCAACUCUUUGUCCUAAUACUGCUCCUACUGCAUAAUCAGAUGCAUCACACAUGAGCUCAAAUGGUAAGCUCCAGUUUGGGGCCUGAAUGAUGGGUGAUGAUGUCAACAACUGCUUUAGUUUUUCAAAUGCCACAAGACAUAAAUCAUUAAAGAUAAAAGGUACAUCCUUAGCAAGUAAAUUACAUAAGGGUCUAGAAACUUUGCUAAAAUCUUUAAUGAAACGUCUAUAGAAACCAGCAUGCCCAAGGAAAGAUCUUACUUCUCUGACUGUUUUAGGUGGAGGAAGAUUAGAAAUGAGAUCCACUUUGGCUUUGUCAACCUCAAUACCUUUGCUCAAAAUGAUGUGACCGAGAACAAUACCUUGUUUUACCAUAAAAUGGCACUUCUCCCAAUUCAAGACUAAGUUCUUCUCGGUACAUCUUUGCAGAACUAGCGUUAGAUGAUGUAAAUAUUGAUCAAACGAGUCACCAAAGACAGAAAAGUCAUCCAUAAAGACUUUAAGGAAUCGUUCAACCAUAUCAGAAAAAAUGCUUAACAUGCAUCGUUGAAAUGUAGCAGGUGCAUUACAUAAUCCAAAUGGCAUUCUCCUAUAUGCAAAUGUGCAUAUUGAACUCGCAAGUGUACGAAUAUAUUCUAGAAUAAAUCAACGGUGACGAGUGUCGAUUCUACAAGAAGAUGGAUUUUAAUUGUGUGUAGAGUUAAUUUUCUAAGCGGUGGUUAGAAUCGUGGUGAAAGUAAUUUAAACUAUCUUAAAAUUUAAAUUAGAAUGGCGGGAAUAAAUUAAAGUGCAAACUAUUAAAAUGAAGUACUUGGGUAUCUAGAUAUGCACUCAACAUGCAACAUAGGCUUAAUAUUCCUUAUUAGUACCAAUUAAAUCAUGAGGGAGAAGGGGUUUGCACUCCUCGUGAACCUCACUCAAAUAAAUAUGGUGCUAAGUGCUUAUCGUGUCAAAUAGUAAUAGCCUUGCACUAGGGAGACGAUUAUACCAGUGUAAUAUCUAGACAAAAUUAUUAUUAUUUGUCGACGAAAAGUAAAACAUCCACAUGAAUCAAAGGGGAAGAGAAAGUAAAUUUACCAAAUUAAACCCAUGGAACAUGUUAAGACAUCACCUUCAACCUAAGCUUGAAAGAAAAUUAGCUACUCAUAAUUGAAGUAGGGUAAAAUGAGAAUUUAUUAAAAUACGUAGAAAAUACAAAAUAGAGAAGGAAUUACAGAAAAUAGGGCUCAAAAAUGAAUUCAGGGAUGCCAAAUUAGGGGGGAUCCCUCUAUUUAUAGAUACAAUGAGUAAAUUAUGACCAUCAGAUUAAAACAAUUUAGACGCUCAGGAUUGCGACAUGUGGCAAGUUCUGACUGGAUAGAACACAUCAUCAGGGUUGUCAUUCCAUGUAUAUGCAUGUACCGUAUGCACGUUUUUUCAGUCCAUUAAUAUACUACCACGUCAUCGGUCAACGCCACAUCAACAUUUUAGUCCACUAAGAUCGUGACACAUUAUCGGUUAACAUCACAUAAGAAGUCAAUGCACAUUAUCGCACCGUAUAUGUGAACAAUGUCGUGAACCGUUUUAUACAUGUGAAUAGGUCGUUUAUUCUUUUAUACUCCUCCUAAGGUUUUCGACUAUCCUGAGUUCAAAAUUGUUAUUCGUUUUGGUAUCUGAUCUCUCGUUCAUUGUGAAAUGACCAUGAUAUCCCCUAAAAUACAUAAAAUACUUAAUUAAAUUACAAGAGACUUAAAUACAUAAAAGUAGGGAAGUUAGUAAGACUUGGAGUGUAAAAUGACGAUUUUCUCCUUUAUAAAUAUACAAUUUUUAGCACUCAACAUUCAUGAACAACCUCGGAGUUCUUUUUGGUACCCAUAGAUACCCUAACAUCUAGGAUAAGGUUUAAGACGAAGAAAUGUUUUCAGCAUAGACCCACCUGCUAAAGUUCUUAUUACAAACCAACUUCUACUACCUACAUAUCAAACAAUUCAUGGAAUUGAACAAAACUAGGACCACGGAUUUUGAGAAUCCUCAGCUCAACGCCUGCUUCCAUUUUAGACCACAUCUCAUACUCCAUUUGCAUGUUUCGGUACUUUUCUUUCUUCUAUAGUAAGAAGCAUAUCAGUUGAUGAGGACUUUAUUAAAUAAAAAAAUAACAAAUAAAUAUUGAGUACCCACUAACCACACCUCCCAAGUGGAAAAUUAUAUUAAUUGUUUGAAUUGUUUGAUAGGUAGACGAUAGAAUGUGGUUUGUGAUAAGAACUUUAGCAGGCGAGUCUAUGCUAGGAACAUUUAUUGAUUUUAAAGCUUAUCCCGAAUGUUGGGGUAGCAUAUGGCCAACAAAAUAAAUUUUCAGAUUGUUCAUGACCAUCGAUGCAUUUUCCUUGAAAUUAUGUAGCUCUACCCUUGUUCAUAAGUAAUGUGUUUGGACCUUCACACUUGUUUUUCAGAUUUUAAUUGAAAUAUAAGUGUGCAACCCAAGAGGGGUGUGAAUUGAAAAUUUAAAAAUUAACCUAGCAAAUCCACACAACAAGCAAUCUAAUGCCUUAAUAAAAAUUGAAAGCAAUAAGUUUAAUAAAGGCACAAUAAUUAAAGAGUAAGGGAGAAGAGAAACAAACACACGAAUUUUUACGUGGUUCGGCAAUCCCCGCCUACGUCCACGCCUCCAAGCAAUCCAAGCUUGAGGAUUUCACUAUCCAAGCCUUUCCGAGGCUUCAACCGAUUACAAUUGACUUCGAGGUGUCAAUAAACCUUUGCAACAAAGAGAUUAUCUCUCAAUCUCUUCACUCAAGUGUCUCGCACACUCAAACUCUUACAAAUGAAAUGAAGAAAUGAAAGUUACAAUCAAACUCACUCAAUGAGUAGAUAUUCAAAGAUGAAGAACAAUGAAUGAUUCAAUGUUUUGUGUUUUGCAAGUUGUAAGCUCAAGAUAUCACGUGUGCUUUUUGUUUUUGCUUGUUGGAGAGCUUCAAAAUGAGUUGGAUUUGAGUUCUUAUAGUUUGAGCUCGAAAACUAGCCGUUACUCACAUUCCAAGCGUAUCCGGUUUGCCGUUUAUGGAAUCCGGUAAGCCGGAUUUAUGUUACCGUUAAGGCAAAAUUUUGAAUUUUGCCUAACCGGCUGGCCGGAUUCAGAAUCCGGCAAGCCGUUUUCGUUCUGGAUACAUUCUGCCCCGAAUCUGAUUUUCCAGUUUUUAUAACCGGUAAGCCGGAUGCUACAGUAACCUGCUACAGUGAAAUUUUUCUUAAAUUUUCAAUUUGACCCCAAAACUUUAUAAAACUGUAGUAUGGCCCAAAACGUUAUGAAACUUUAUAAAUAGGUCCAAUUUCAGAAUUUCUAAAUAAUGCUUCGUUAAUCCCAAAACUUUCUAAAAUUAUGAUUUUGCCCAAACUUUGUGAAAUUAUAAAAUGACCCAAAAACAUUUAAAUAGUUUCAAAUAGGUCCAAAUCUGAAAUUUAAAACACUAUCAAAGAUUUUGAAAUUACUUUCAUUUUAGUCCAAAAUGCUUUAAUUCCAUAACAUCAUUUUCUUAUUAUAAAAGCACAAUUCAUAAAUCUUUACUUAAUAAAUACAUGUGGUUUGUUAUCAUCAAAAUCAAUAUUUAUAGCCAUAUAGGCUAACAUUAAUUUGAUUUGAUAAGAAAGAAGAGAUGGUGGAAAUCCACAUUAGUUGUGUGGAUUGUGUGAUAUGUAGACAAUAAAAGUUGGUUUUUAAUAAGAACUUUAGCAGGUGGUUCUAUGUUGGAAACAUUUCUUGGUCUUAAAGGUUAUCCUGAAUGUCGAGGUAGCUAUGGAUAGCAAAAAGAAUUUUGAGGUUGUUCAUGACCACCAGUGCAUUUUCCUUGAAACUAUGUAGCACUGUCCACAAGUAGGAGAACCUCCAGCCUCAAAGGGCUUGCUAGGUUCAACAACAAGAAACACAUAAUCCCUAAUCUGACACUUCUCACACUGACAAUUAACAAUUAACAAAUCAAGAUUAGGAAAUAAUGAACAGAACAAUAAAUUUUCAAUAAAUCUACACGAUUAUAGCAACAAAAAAUUAAACUCCAAACAACUUGAGAACGAGGAGCAAAUAACAGAAUAGGCUACAUACAGAAAGAAUUCGGGCAGAACUCGGCUUGCUAGUUAGCUACAAAUACCAAAUUUUCUAAUAUUUUAAUUGACCAAAUUUAAACAACUCAAAUUUGAAUGAAUUUGUAUGGAAGUAUUUGGGAAUAGGUAUCAAUAUCAUUCAUGUUUAAACGAAAACAUAAACAUAUGAUUUUGAUAAACAUUUGAAUAUAUUUAUAAAAUGAUAAUAAACAGAGAAGUUGGACAUGAAAUUAAUAAUAAACAGAGAAUUUAGUCCUCUACAUGUAACUUUAGACUAUAAGAUGGGGGAGGAAAAUUCCUAAAACUAAUUAGAAAUUUAAGACAGUAAUAGAUCAAAAUUAAGCCUUAAAUUAAUAUGAACUUGAAUGGAAAAUACAAUUUUAUUAAUAAAAAGUCUCAAAAUAAUUUUCAGAUCCAUCGAUCAGAACCACACCGUCUUUGACACCAAUUUCUUAUAUCAGUGUAAUCCUUUACAAAAUCGCCACAUUUGGCGCAGCCAAAAUAGAUACUAAUAAAAAAAUCAGUAAAGAAUAAUAAUAAUAUAAAAAAAUACAUAAAAUUAAGAACAUACGAGAUUUUGAUGCUUCGCAGUUUUCGAUUUGGCAUUGCUUACUGGUUGAACAUGAUGAAACCCAACGAGAAUUCUCGCAACUCUGAGUCUCCGAUAGAAUUUAUAGUUCAGUGUUUGGGAGGUGAGAAAGUAAAAAGGUAAUUGAAAGAAAACAGAGAGAAUAGUAGAAGAAUCUAAAGAAGUUUUCCUAUUUAAUCUGGAAAACUUAAAAACAAUUGUUUACAAUAUCGGUAUAUAUAUAUGUUAACAACUUCUCACUGUUACAAUUUGAAAGUAUGUAAAACUGAAUCUAACUAAUUGCCAAGUGGGCUGUAAUCAAGACUACCCUCUACAUCCACAAUAUUCUCGUUGGUAGCUUCUUAACACUCAAUUUGACCGUGUCACUCGCUCUCUGAAAAUAAAAUAAAAUAAAAUAAAGAAAGCUGAGAGCCGGUGAUUUAAGGAAUACCCUUAAUUUUGAUAUUUAUUUUAUAGUGCCAGAAAUUCUAAAUGCCAAGGGUGUGGUUUUUAAGCUGUCGGCAUCCCGUUCUGAGCCUUCUAAAUUUUUUAAAUUGAGCCCAAGGGUAUUUAAGGUUUCCUAGUCCAAAGUCCCUUCAAGCAUUUAAGUUUUGCCUAGCUCAUAGCCCAUUGUGGAAUUUUGGCUCAUUUCUGGAUUCACACAAUUAUAAACUAUCCUUUUUAUAAUUUUAAAGAGACUAUUUAUAUUCUAGAAAUUAUUUUAAAUAUUCUAUUAUUUUUAUUAAAUUUAAAAAAUUAAAUUUUAUUCCGUAUAUUUAAAUCUUAUUCCGUAUAUUCUCUAAAAUACCUUAAUUUAAACCAUCUAAUUUAGUUUACUCAAAACAUUAAAAAAAUUAUUUUGCUCAAAACACCAAUAAAUUUGAAAUUUAUCAUAUGCUUACGAAAAAUGAAAUCAAGUCACAAUUGUAUACAAACUUUUUAACAGCAUUUUAGUUAUUAACUUUUGUUUAUUAAAGAAUAUACAAUAUUUGUUUCCCAAUUCUUUAAUAUCAAGAAUUAUGAUUUUUCCUUUGCCAUCCAGUCAUAAUAAUAAAAAAUAAAAAAACCGUCUCACAGGAGAAGAAGAAUAAGAUGACGACGUUAGAAGAUGCUAUUGUCGGAUGCUGCUCUAGUUGAUUUGGCUUCAACUUCAGCAAUACUUUGAUUUAAUUUUAUUUUUGAAACAUAAAGGGUUGAACAUAUUUUGUAGUUUAAAUAUUUUAUAAUAUUAUUCAUUAAAGAUCUGAAGUCUGAAAUUUUAUUAAUUUCAGUUUUUUAAAAAUUUACUUAUGUACUUUUUGUAACUUAUAUUUGAUUUUUAGACAUUUACAUUUGAAUAGAAAAAAAGUAAACUUUUUGUGACUUUUAUUUAAAUGAGAAUUAAAUAUUAUAUUAAGAAAAUAUCUCUAUUAAAUAUACUUAUUUCAGAAGAUAUAAAGCCUAAUUUUUUUUACUCAUAUGACAUAAGUGUUAAAUAAUUAUGUCUAAGAUAUUUUUUUAUUUUAUAAAAACAAACUAGAUGUCAUUUAUAUUCAGAUAUUUAAAAAAAAUAACAUGUCAUCCACAUUUAUAUUCAAACUCAUUUAGAAUUCAGAAAAAUUCAGACCCAUUUAUAUUUCAGAUAAAAAAAAUUACUAUCUAAGUUUUGUUUAAGAUACUUGAUUUAAUAUUUUUAAGAUGUAAAAAGUAGAAUUAUAAGUUGAAUAAUAAAUGUGUUAUAUGAUUGCUAAAAAUAAUUAUUUAAUAUUAACUCAUAACAAAUUAUCCUUAAUAGUAAUUUAAAUUACAGAUAUUUUGUAACAAAUUAUUUUUUAAAAUAAUAAUCUUUAAAGUUAGCAAAUGAUGAUAACUAAAUACAUUUUAUUAACUUAUGGUGAACGACUGAUAUACUCUAAAAAUAUUACAGUAAAUUUGAUAACAGAGUAAACUAAUGAUAUGCGAUUGAUAAUUUCUCAAAAUUCAAACAGCCCCACUAAAUAAUAAACAAGCGAGAUAAAAGUUGAAAUACAUCAUUAUCUCUAUAAAUAAAAAAAAUCGUAAAUCCCCAAUAUUAAAAGACGACAGCGUGUCAAGCUCUCAUGAAAAGAGCUGCGGGAUUCACAGUCCAGCUUUGAGUGCUUGACAUGUGGGCUGACAAUCUCCAUAAGGAGAGCGACUUCGCCUCCGAGAUUAAAAGUCGAUUUGCGACGCUUUCCUAGUUUUUAAUUUCGGUUUAAAGAUUUUAGAAAAGAAAUUGGGAACGGAGCAAAGAUAAGAGUUGUGAUUUUAUCAUUGUUUUAGUUAUUUUCAUUAGCGUAACUGCGGUUAACUAAUUUAAACUGAUUUUUGAUGUUGUAGAAAAUAACAAAGAUUGCCUUGAACAAAAAAAUAGAGCAGGACACAUUUCUAAAAUAUCUCUCACAAAAUGUUCACUCGGGAUUCUUUCCUGAGCAUCUGAUGAUGAUGAUGAUUGCUUUACCCGAAAAUGAAAAUUGAAUGGAAAUAUGUAUAUGUUAUUGGCAAUUAUGAUGCUUCCUAAUUGAUUAAAGGAUGAAAUCUAACAUUUCAAAGAUACAAAUAAUGUGGCAAUCUCAAGCCAAUCAAGUUCCCGUAAUGUGGGCUUUCUUUUAUUAUUAUUAUUUGAGUUUCCAGUUAGCUACACAAUAAAGUGUUAAAAAUCUAAUAACGAACUUGUACGCUGGGGCAGUUGCUCUAACGGAACAUUGGAAUCUUCCCGCUAAAAGUAACUACCAAGAAACUGAUACAAAUGAACCACAGCCAAACGUCCAUCUCUCAUUGGAUCAACACCUCUAUAAAGCACCGACCUCCAGUCACAACUGACUCCUCCUCCAAGAAUCUCAUAAAAAAAUUUCCAGCCAUUUCCAAGCAUUGUGAAGGCAACUGAGGUUGCGGCAGAGGCCAGAGAUUAUUGUUGAAUCCAGAAACAAGGAGGGCAACAGCAAGAAAGCAGAAGUUGGUUUCUGAAGAUGAUACAAGAAUUAAUUUUGCUAGUGGCAUUUGCAUUGUUUCUUGGUCGAGUAAUUACAGAUGUUUAUAGAACAAUAAUAAACCAAUUCAGAAGAAGAAAAAGAGGGGGAGGAAGAGGAGGGAGAUAAGGAUGAGCAAUCUAAUUCAACCCUUCAUCCUCAAAAAAACCUUCGUUUUCUACUGGAGUCUUGCUAAGGUAUACACUUAAAAUCUCCUGUUCAAAAAACUUUCUUAGGUGAAAUACAGUUGAUGUGUUUGUUUGGUUGCCAAGAUUUUGUGGAAAGCAAAAUGAGCUAAUGAAGCUUUAUGUGUUAUUUUUUCAUGGGGUUUAGAAUUCUUUCUGAUAUAUAUGCUGCGAUCUUGUUUUGCUUUAUUAGCUAAUUUGGGUGUCAAUAAAUUAUGUUUUCAAAUUAUAUAAAACUUGAAUUUUCUUAAUAAUCUCACGGUCUUUGUUUCUUGGUAGGUUCUGGACUUCUAGUUCUAAUCUUGAUUUAGUUAUUCAUGAUUGUUUCAUUAAAAGGGGAGAUUUAUUGGUUCUUUGACUCAAUAGCUUUCAUUAACUUGUAUACAAUUGUUUGGAUAUAGAUUUGGUAUCUCUACUAGUAUUCUUCAUCUAUGCCAAUCUGAGGUGAUAUUCCUGUAGCAACUUCAUAAUGGAUAUUGUGCACUGAUUCAUGACGUGCCACCUUUCAUUAAUCUGGAUUCCUUAAACUGAUUUUAUUAUGCUUUCAUUGUGCAUCAGAAUCAGAUUAUGGAUUUUUCCUUAAUGGGGUUUCUUUAAUCAUGUCAAUGUAUUGCCGAUGUAUUCAAAGGACUAUAAUGAUGCUGAGCUCUCUGACUUUGGCUUGGGUAAAUUUUCUUCAUCUUUUUCCUUAUUAUUACUAUUCUUUCGUUUAUUUCCUUCCUAUUUUCCCUACCUUUGUUCCUUUUUUUACUCUUUGUUUCAAAGUGUCUGACUGGUGAUUUUCCAAAUGAUUGCUUAUCUGAAAAAUUGCAGACCUUUUACACUUGCUGGCUGGUCAUUUAUGCUUAAACAUUUCUUUUGAAAUAAUUCUAAAUAAGAUCUGUUGCCAGAAUAAACAAUUUAAACUUACAAAUAUGGAUAGUAUGAGCUUGAUGGUUAUAUUUAUUAUUAUAUCCCGUUGUAUUUGAUGAUGAGCUGAUUCAUAAAUGCAGUUAAUUUGAUCGAUAUAAUAGUAGUAAUCAGCUUUCAAAUAGGUGAAUGAGAUCAAUGAGGUCUAAUUUUCCAGAAAACUCAAGAGUUAUUUUCUGUUAACUUGAAUCUCAAGUCAUCAGUGAGAAAGUAUUAGUUAGAAUGACUCCUCUUUGUCAGAGCAAUUAUUGCUGACUACUGGCUUUACUUGAUGCAGCUAUUGCUACUGUUAUCUCAAUUUCUAUCAUUCUGAAAGGAAAUGGAUGGGUAAAUAAUAAAGGUAAACAAAUGGCCAUAGCCUUUGUACUUUUAUUAAACAUCCUCAAUUAUUCCUAAAUUACUUUUAAUUACAUGUUUCAGGAAAUGCUAGAGAGAAAGAGGUAUCUAUAGUAUAAAUAAAGGAGGACAGCGAACCAUUUGGGCUUAGCGCAAGUGGCUAGAGCCAUUCCCUCACAAGUGUGAGGGAAGUGGUUCGAGCCUCCGCAGACCCAUUGCAGGGGUUUAAUUUAAAUUUCCUUCCUUGGAGCCCCAGAGCUUGAGUGAAGGCAGUCUUUCUCCCAGAAUGGGAGUUGACAUCCCUCGAAUAUUUGAGAGGGUUAAAAUCUGAGCGGUGCCAUAUCAGAAUUGAUAUAAACGGGUCUCAGUAUAUAUAUGAUUGUAAAUAUCAUCAUGAGCAAUAGUUCUCAUUCAAAAAAAAAAAAAAAAAAAAAAAAGGAGGACAGCGAAGAUCACUUCAUUAAGAAAGCUGAGGUUAGAUUGCUUACAUUUUGUUGAGUUCUUGUUCAUUUUACUUGUUGCAAUUUUAGCUAAUCAAUUGCACUAUUAACAAUUUCAUCUUUCAUUGCUUCUUAGAUUCGAACUGUGUUGGGAAUGGCUGAGAAACUCAACAAGAUAACUGCUGCUGCUACAGCACCAAAGAAGUCUGCUGAUAAGGCGGCCUGAAGACAUAAGAGUUUCAUUUCUAUGGUACAAAGACGUAAUAAUUAUUGUCGAGACUUGAAAAAGAUUUCAGCAGAGAGAUGAUCGGAUGAAGAUUAUUAGAACGCUAUUUUCACUUACAGCUGCUGCUAGCAUGACCAUGCAACAGAGUUGGAGAAGAGACAGUUUGGUGGGAGCAGAUUCGAUUGUGUCUGGCACCAAUGUGUCUUCCUUUGUUCGCUUUAAAAUUCUGAAUGUCGUUUAGAUCAAACUUAUGCUACGGCUUUUCAUGUUAGAUAUAGGGGUAUUUCAUUUUCCAGCAGAGUAAUUGGAACAGACAUUCAAAGUAUCAUUUGUCUCUCUUGUGCUCUCUCUCUCUCUCUCUCUCUCUCUCUCUCACACACACACAAUGUUAGCAAAUUGACUGCGCCCUGAGAUCGGCUAGUCUUGCCGCCAUCAAUGAGUUUAUCUCUAGUUGCAAGUCGUGAUAAAAGCCAGAUGAAUUUGUUAGCACGAUAAUGAAUGAUUUAUAGCCUAUUUAAUUUCCCGUGAUCUUAAGUACUAUUGUCAUCGAACCAGUAGUUGAAGGUUUUAGAUGAGAAGAAAGGUGCUCUACCUCUUGUAACAUGGAAUGAACAUCAUGCCCAUUGGAGAUACCCUGCAAUGCAAGGAUGUGAGAGAUUUUAGGAGCAGUUUGCCGUUAAGAAAAAUAAUAAAGAGCAGUAAAUCUGUCUUCAUCAUUUUUAUUUACAUCAUAACAAAGUAUUGUGUGUAGUAAGGAUUGAAUGAUCCAAUGAAUCGAAAAGCAUAAGUAUUGAAUGAGCUAAUGCAUCGAAAAGCAUACAGAUAAGCAUCCAAUUCAUCUUUAUGUGCGAGUGUGUUGCUGUGUAGAUUUUACGUAGAGGCUAGGAAGUUGGAAGAAACAGCGGUACCGCUGGAUGGUUGAAAAUACCAUACUGACUGAAGAAAUGCAUAGGCACUUUUGUUGAAUGAGCAAUUUAAGGAAAAUAGUUUAUUUACAUUUUUUAAAAUAAUGAAGAAAUUGAUAAUUAUAACCCUAUAUCUCACCUACUGAUUUAAAUUCCAUUUUGUCCUUGUUUGUUAAUUAUAUUUUUCUUUUUACCAUGUUAAAAGAUAUUUCACUUUUAAAUUUCUUUUUACAAACAAAAAGCGGUCAAAUAAUUAGUAAAUAUGACUAUGUGAGACUUUGUUAAUUUCCUCACCAUCAGCUAUGAGUUUAACUAUACUUUGUAAAUUUAUCUUCGUCGAGACACGAAUGUGGGUGGUAAGACCAUUUUGUAAAACACCUGGACAAUCUUAUUUCAUUUACACGACUAAUCAACAUCCAAGCGUGAAAAAUACAUACAACAGUAAAAGGUAUUAAGGAUUCUCUAGAUUAAUUGUAUCCCAUUCAAAUUCAACAGAAUUAAAAUCCGUCCAAGUUCCUCCCAUACAAAGCGCUAUACGCUAUAUCCUCUAUUCUGUUUAUUGUCCGAAGUGCCCUUCCCGGAAAAAGGUCAGUGAACUCUAGGAAAGAGAAUUCCUCGGUACACAGCAAAGGGAGCGAAAAUAUUAUGGUGCAGAUGAUCAAGUCGACGAUAACGAGAGCGAUAGGUACAACUGCUGUGCCACGUAGCACUGAAUACGUGCCUAUACUAAAUGCAAACAUCAUCGCGAUCAAUGCAAAACGUAUAAAUGUUAGGCUCCGUCGCCAUAGUAAAAAUUCCGUCGACUUGUCCGCCGACCGUGACAGAUCAAGGUGGAGGAAGACGGCACCUGUGGACAGCAACAUGGCUACCGAAUUGAAUACAACAAAUGCUUGGAAAAUUUUGUCUCUAGUCAGAACUGCUGCCCCCUGGUCUGGACCCUUUUCAUUAAUGUAACCACCUGGCAUAUUUAUACCUGCGGUGAAUGUAACAGUUGCUAUAAGUACAGCUAUUACUAGAUGGGAAUCCUUUCUUUCCUUGACAUAUUCCCCUACGAUCUUGACUCUUGAUGAUUUCUCAUUUUUUCUAUCAUUGUUCUUCUUCUUGUCUUCUACAUUAUUAUUACCCUGAUCCUUUCUUUCCCCAUCUCCAAAGACCAUGUGUCGCCGGCACCUGUAUCUAUACAAGCACCGUAGAAACAAACUCUGCAACAACAUAUUGUACGUACGUUUUGCAAGAAUUAUGAACUGUAACAAGUAAGGAAGGUAGGGGACUGAAUAUAUUGUUAUUAUUUAAUUAAUAUUAUUAUUAAUUUCACCUAUUGGCUUGUGUCAGAACUUACCAAUAAUAUUAUUUAAUCGAGUUUAUCAAUUUAUGAAAUUAUUUCAUUAAUGCUAUUUUAAAUACUUCAUAGUCCGUGAGUAAAAAGGACACAAAAAUUUUAUAUAUAGCAAAUUAAGUUUUCUUACCUCCUCGAGCCGAUAAACAACCUUGCCAGAACGGAAUAUGUCUUCAGCGUUAUUGUUUUGAUGAUUGAAUGCUAGCCUAUCCACUUUCGGGUGAAGAAAGAAAGACCUUAUACAAUAAGAAGAACCAGAAGCAGCAUGUUCUAGCAGAGGUGUGUUCCCGUCAUCAUUUUUCUCGUUUAUAAGGUUUCGAAGCGAUGGGUUUUUUAAGAGUAAGUCGACUGCCCUUCUACUUUUGCUAUUCAGUACAAAGUGAAAAACAUUCCACCCUUUGUCAUCAACCAAUUCACAAGAACUUGGACAACUAAAUAUUAGCUCUUGCAUUGAAUCUAAAUUGCCCCUAUCAGCUGCGAGAUGAAGAGGUACCUUUCCCUUAUUAUCAGCUUUGUAGGCUGCGGAUUUAUCGGCCUUGAGUAAUUCCUUCACAUUGUAACGGCGUCCGAAGUGUGCGGCCAAGUGAAGAGGAAGGCAACCUUGCUGGUCUGGUUUGCUGGUUAGAGUCUCUUUACCGUUCAAUAACAUUUUUGUUAUUUCUACAUAAAAAUAAACAAACAAAAAUUAAACCCGACCCACUAGAAUACUACAUUAUUUUUUCUUUUUUAAUUUUUUUCAAAUGGAAAAGUCUUGGAUGUUCUGGAGCACUACUCUUUUUUCAUUAAUUUCUGUCACAUGUAUGCUUCAAAUAAUAUUACUAUUACUAAACCCGCAUUUCGUAAGUGGUGACAUUUGUAAACUACAAAUUCCUUGCUAAGAGAUGCCGGAGAACUUUUUUUUUCUUUAAAUAAUAAUUCUCUAUAUAACAAAAAAACUCCAAAAACCCAUUAGCAAAGCAGAAGCACCAAAGAGUUGUAAACUGACACUAAUACAACGGAGAGGCUUAUGCAAACAGUUAAUAAGCUUAUGUAUCUAAGCGAUCAUUAUGUAUUACAAUUAUUGGAUAGAAAAGAAAUUUAUAAUUAAUUAACCUGUAUCUUUUAGAGAUGCUGCUGCGUGCAAAGCCGUUCUUCCCAUUGGUCCAUGGUCAGCUGGUGAUAUACAAGUCGAUAAAAUAUCUACCACAACAUCUUUGUAACCCCUCUCUGCAGCCAGGUACAGUGGAGUCUCCCCAGCUUGGUUGGCAUCAUACGGUAAAUUAGGUUCUUUGGUCAACAUCUUCACCACAUCAACUUGAUUGUAACGCACCGCCUCGUGCAAGGCUGUGUCUUUGGCUUCAUUCGUCGUUCCCAGCAUCAGCCUCGCGGCUUCAACACCUUUCUCGGGGUCGUUCUGGUGGGGUUUUUUGCACUCGGCAAUCAGAUCCUUCACUAUAUCAGCAUGCCCGUGCCUGGCCGCGAUGUGCAGCAGAGUUUCCCCUUUGGUGUUGGCCUUCAGUAGUAACCAGGACACAUUUCUAAAAUAUCUCUCACAAAAUGUUCUGAUGAUGAUUAUUGCUUUUUAAAAGUACUCAUCAUCCACCAAAGGCUGCUUUUUAGCUUGUUAUUAGGCUUCAUUGUUUGAUUAGGUCGGGCUGUGAUGUGGAUAUGGAGGAUUGUGUUCUCGUUCGGAGUCAAUAUUCGGUCAAGCAUCUGUGCGUGUGCUCUGAAUUGAUCGGUAUGGCCUUCUACGGCAGCCUUGUAAAGAGAAUCCAUCAACUCGAAAUUCUUUUCUCGGACACUUGGUAGUCCUGCCCGGCGUGUCUCAGCAUUCUGGUUAUCAGAACCGGAAAGUGACGACGACAUUUUGCUGGUGAUGUGAUGUGUCCCCCAAAUAGAAAUGGGAAGGAAGUGUUUGUGAAAGAUAGGAUUUUCUUUUCUUUUUUCUUUUUCCAAAAUGGAGAUGGCUAUUGGCUACGGUGCUGCUAAGUGCGCUUAUCAAUUUAUAGAUAAAAAUGGGUUACAUGCACGUACGAGUCCGGUCCUACAGGGGAAUUCAUCGUCAUCCGCUAAAUUAAAGAUUAGGCUCCCGUCCUUCAGGGGAAUUCAUCGUGUCCGCUAAAUUAAAGAUUAGGCUAUCCUAAUCACUGUUCUCUGAAGACCUGCGAAAUGUAUAGGCACUUUCCUGUUUUCUGAAGACCUGCAGAUUAAUAUGACCGAACAAAUGCAUAGGCACUUUCGUUGAAAGAGCAAUUAAAGGAAAAUUCAUCCUCGUCCAGUAAAUUAAAGAUUAUGUUAUACUAAUCAGCUGUUUUCUAAAGUCUGUUCUGCCAUUUUAUAAGCAAAAUAAUUUAUUUAUCCUUUUUUGCCCUUUUUAAUUAACUCGCGUAUUUAUUGAAGUUCGAAAUUCAAGGUAUAACAAAGUUCAUUUCUUGUCAAUUGAGAUGGACCUUGACUUCAAGAGCAUGUCCACAAUAAAAUUACUUCAUUAAUUUUUUUAAUUAAUUAACACCCUUAACCAGGGGCAUAUCUAAAAAUUAAUUCACACGGGGCAACAUCAUAAUAAAAAAAUAAUUUAUAAAAUUGAAACCAAUAUUAAAAUUUAUUUAUAAAAUUACCCCCACCCAAAGAUAAGUUCCCAAAAAUUAAUAGUCUUCCCAAAAAUUAAUAGGAAAUUUAUUUUUGAGUGGACCAUUAGCCCCACACCCUUGAUCCGCUCCUACACUUAUUUCCUUACCACACUUGAAUUCCAAAUCAAAUGAUUUGUCAAACUAAAGUUACUUGAAAAUAAUUCGGUCACGCUUCAUUACUCAAAAGUAACUUCAUUAGUUAAGAAUAUUGCUUAUACCUAAAGUGUGUGGUUAAUGAUAUGCAGGAUUCAAUAAAUGAUUCUGGUUCUUACUAUUUUUUUUAGGAUUAUUAUCAUUUAAUUACUUUAGAUCAUAAAAUAUCAAAUGAUUAUAAGAAGUGUUGGUGUCUAUUAUUUUAUUACAAUAUCUUUUGUAAAAUCUUUUAUUUUAUUAUAUUUUUAUUUUCUACUAUUAGUUGACCAAUAAUUGACUAACAAAAUAUUAAUAUGCCCUUACUUUAAAAAAUUAAUUAAAUAAAAAAAUGAGAAAACAAAAAUAAAGAAUCAAACUCAACUGAAGAAUGCGUGCCUUCACUUCCAAAACUUCUUAUGCUCCAAUUGGGGAAAAGAAGGAAAAAAAAAAAACUGCUUGUGAUUAAGCAUCCGUCUUGUGUGCUAAAUUGCUAAUCUUGCUCUCAUCAAGAUAUCAAAUUGAAGCCGCCACUAAAACUUGAAGAUAGCAAAUUGAAACUGCCAUUAAAGCUUGAAGAUCAAUAUGCUUUCUGUCAAUCUUAAUUUCUAUUUCGUCACAAUCCUUCAAACUCAUAAUAAUAAAUCCAUCAUUCCAUAACCAAAUCAAACUCAGCAACUGGAAAAAAAAAAAUCUCAAAGAAAUAUUAUAUAAAAUCCACUUUCAAAUAUAUCACGUAUCGCUGAGAUAAGUUAUAAAAACAUAAUAAAUUUUCCUCACCCACGGCUGCCAUCAAAAUCCCUCCAAUUCUUCUUUUAGACGACACCCAUCAAUGCCAAUGCAUGGCCUGUACCCAUUCAAAAAUGCCAAUAAUUUUUCAAAGAUGGUGGAUCACUAUCUGAGGUAAAAAGUGAAGAAGAAGAAGAAAAUGAUGACGUUAGAUAUUCGGGAUUCAAGAAUUUUUUUUUCUUUCAUUUGUUUUUAACGAUAAUGAGUACACUGCCCUUGCCAUUUAAAAUUAUAAUACAACUUAUCUUAGUUUUGAAUGUAAAGAUACUUUUAGAGCAUGACAUCAGUUUUCAACUCAUGACAAAAAUAAACUAAAAUAAAUUUUUUUGAAAGAUACAAAAAUAAAAUGAUAAGCACAAAUACUUACAAUUAUUUCAUAUUUUAUAAUUUUAAAUGUUGUGCAACUAUAAUAAUACUUUUUCUUAAUAUCUUAAAAAGCUUAAUCGAUUUUCAAUCUUUAUUUUUUUUUUAAAUUUAAAUUAUGAUAACUAGUUAAAUAAACUAUUUGAAAAUCAUACGAAUAGGGCCAAUAGGCUAAGGCCAUUCCUUUCACGCGCUCGAGAAAAUUGUAUCCUUUUUUUUAUUAAUAUUGUUAUACAGAACUGUUACUGAUAUUACAUCAUAUAUUACCAAUAAUAUUUACAAACAGAUUAUACAACUGGGACCUUCUUCGUGACAUGUACUCUUCUGAAACGCUGUCCAGAUUCUUUAAACCAUCUCUAAUAUUCGAGAGCUAUUCAUUUCACUCACAUUUUGUGAGGGGCAGACUGGCUCUACUCAAUUAUUUGAUAAUUGAGAGAGUAUUGAAAUUAACCCCUAUAAUGCUUUUAUGGAGGCUCGAACCUUUGCACUCAACAUUGUAAUUGCAAAAAUUCUCCCACUGGGCUAAAGGCCCAUUGAUAAAAUUAUACCCUUUUUGCAUGCUCUGAAAAGCAACUGGGAAGAUACAUUGGUAUUAGCUAGUAGAGUCUUCACCUAACAUACAUACCCAAACAACAACUAAGAAAGGCUACGGAUAGUGAACGGAAGACGUUGAAGAGUGUAGUGUAAAAGAUGGAAAAUUUUCCUCAUUCAUAGCCGCUCGUCAGGUAAACUAGUCAGUUUUUUUUUUUGGUUGUUUUUGUUUUUAUCUUGCAGGGUCUUGGAAUAGAGAAUGAUUCACUUACAUAUGAUGGAGAAAUUGAUAAGCGCUUUCCUAGGAUAGAGAAAAUUAAGGAAGUUUCACAAUCAAAUGGUUUGGUUAAUAUCCUAACCCUAUGACAUGAUCAUUUUUAUUAAGAAUCCAUAAGCACUUUCGUUGGAAAAUGUAUGGUUUCGAGUCUUGCUACGGUGCGUCAGUUGCACUGUGCAGCCAUAACAAUUUUUUCAUUGUCCGUCGUUACAUGCAACAAGGUUCCUAUCAUGUGUGUGUUGUGUAUAUAUAAAUUGAAUAUACAUCAAAAAGAUCAUUACCAAGUACGAACUAAUUAUUAAUGUUUGUUAUGGUGUGGUGCAGCUGAUAUCUUAUAGUUUCACAUUAUAUGUUUAGAUCAAUAUCGCUAACCUUAUAAGUUUUUAUCUUAAAUUUCAUUCUACAUGAUAUAUCAUUCAUUAGGUGGUUGAUAUUUUUUUACAAAUAUCAAGUGAAUUAGUUGUAUUAUUUCAUAAUCUACUUUGAUGAAUACCACAUAAUUUAAGAUAAAAUUUUAAGAAGUCUAACACUACUUUUAAUUUAAUUAAAAAAAAUUUACAUCCACUUGUAAGAGUUUGUUAAUAGUUAAUAUUACAAAUCACCUUGAAAUGCAUACAAUAAAAUUAAUUUUAGGAUAAAAUUUUAAGAUUUGUAACUAGCACUACUUCUGAAAGUAUAGGUAGAAGGAAAAUAAAAAAUAUUAUAGUUAAUGAGAAUUAAAAAAGUAGGCCACGUGGCAAACAUAUAAAAGUAGUUUGUAUACAAUGUAAUUUGUACAUGGUAAUUAAGGUAUAGGCAAACUUAUGCACAACCUUGAUUUCCUCUAGUCCAUAAAUUGAAAAUAACCAAUUCAUCUAAAGCUGUUGGGUUUUUAUGGGCAUAUUUCCAUUUUUCUGUCUUCAAGAUCACUUAUGCUGUUGCUCUUUUAGACAUGUGAUGUUUAAUUUUACAUAAGAUGAACAAAUUUAUAAAGCUCUCUCUCUCACACUCCUCCUCGUCCACCAUACACUCACAAGCAUAUAUAUAUGCAGUACACAUAUAGCUUAUGCAAAUAGACUGCACCCUCAGAUAAGCUAAUAUUGCAAGCAUCACCGUUUGAAUUGUACUUUCGACCACGUGUUCAACAACCACCACCGAAAUAAGAGGGGAGCGGGGGCAAGGGUGGUUUCAAAUGUUAAUCUAAUUCAUUGAGGAAAAUUAUAAAGUUAGUGAUUAUGCUACUAGUUCUUUACAAAAAACAAAAUGUCAUGGAAGAUUGCCAGCGAGUGUUGGAUUUAUCAUCUGUUUGUCAACAAUUAUCACUACAUCUGAGAAAAUUCUGCUCUAAGAUAAAAUAAAGGUGAUAUUUCAUCAUUAUUAUCCCUCGUCAAGAGAAAUAUGAGAUAUUCAACAUGACUAUAAGAAUCUACAGUCCCAUGUUCAACAAGACUAUUUGAAUUUACAGUCUCGUAUUCAACAAGACUUUCUGAAUCUACAGUCUCAUAUCUAAAUAACUCAUAAGUCAACAAUCAAAGUUGGAGUUUUAUAUCAAGUUAUUUACUAAAAUAAGCAUAAAGUAACUCCGACUGCACAUAGGGUGAAAGAAAGAAGAAUGUAUGACCCUGAAUGAAAUAUUGAGUAGUUGGUUGAUUAAAAUUAAAUGCAGUGAUCAUUUUAGGGACAAGUUGGCAAGUGUCAAUGCUAAUACAUUUACCUAUUUUCUAUGUCUUCGCCAGAGGCAUAUCCCUCAGGCUUGUCGCUAUAACCAGCAAAAUCGGAUGUAUGAAAAUAUGUGUUUAGCUUGGUUCUACAUUUUAAUUUCCUCAUAAAGUAAGAAGAUGUUAGAUAGAUUACAAAUGUUAGAGGUUCUCUUUUUGGCAAAUUGCAGUCCACUGUUGAGUUGAAACCAUUCAUGAGUGGGUACGCACCCUACUACUUGUACAUGCUUACAUUUUCUAAUUCAUGUCAUGGGAUUUUAGUGCGUUUCCGCACAAGAUUUGUUCCAUUUGCACACAAUUUAGAAAGAAAAAAGAGCACCAUCCCAAAGCAAAUGUUUUUUGUGGGAACCAAGAUGCUACCUAUAUUUAUUUGAUGAAAUCCAACUAGGUAAUCAAUUUCACUAUUAACAAUUUCAUCUUUCACUGCUUUUUAUUUUCGAACUGCGAUGAGAAUGGAUGAGAACAAGAUCAUUAUUGUCGCUACAGCACCAAAGAAGGCUGCUUAUAAGGCGGCUUAAAGACGUAAGAGCUUCAUUUCUAUAGUCCAAAAAUGUAAAAAUUAUCUUCCAGACUUUAAGAAGAUUUCAGUAGAGAGAUGAUCGGAUGAAGAUUAUUAGAAUGCUAGCUACUUCCACUUAGAGCUGCUGCUAGCAUGACCAUGCAACAGAGUUAGAAAAGAGACAUCUUGGUGGGAGCAGAUCCGGUUGUGUCUGGCACCAAUGUAUCAUUCUUUGUUCACUUCAAAACUAUGAAUGUUGUUUAUAUCAAACUUAUGCUACUGUUUUUCAAGAUAGAUAUAGGGGUAUUUCAUUUUCCAGGAGAGUAAGAGGAACAGACAUACAAAGUAUCAUUUGUCUCUCUUGUGCUCUCUCUCUCUCUCUCUCUCUCUCCCUCCCUCUCUCACACACACACAAAAAAAUACAUGCAUAUACAUAUGCAGCCCACACAAAGUUAGCAAAUUGACUGCACCCUGAGAUUGGCUAGUCUUGCUGACAUCAAUGCUUGAGUUCAUUUCUUGUUGCAAGUCGUGAUAUAAAUCAGAUGAAUUUGUUAGCAUGAUAAUGAAUGAUUUAUAACCUAUUUAAUUUUUUGUAAUCUUAAGUACUAUUGUAAUCGAAACAGUGGUUGAAGACAAGCUAGUUGGUCAUUGAAGCUCAUAUUUUCUAAGUAAUGUGAAAGGUUCUCAAUAUGCUGUAGAACAUGUGCACGUAACGUCAUAAUCCACAACGUUAAAGGAGUACCAUCACCGAAUCAAAUGGUUUCGAUGGCAACGGAGAUGCUUCCUCAAUUUUUUUUAGUGAAUGAAAUCUAAAUUGUUAUUUUCAAAUGCCAUUCUGAAAACGUCAACAUAAUAAUUAGAGAUGAAGGUUUUGGAUGGCUAGAUGCAGAGAAGAGAAGAAAGGUGCUCUACGUUUUGUAGCAUGGAAUGAAUAUCAUGCCCAUGGCUGAUUGAGAUACCCCGCAAUGCAAAGAUUUAAAAAUAUAUUAAUAGAAUUUAGUUGCAGUUUACCGCUAAGAAAAAUACUAAGAGCAGUAAAUUUGUCUUCAUCGUUUAAAACUUGCAUCAUAAGAAAGCAUUGUGUGUUGUAAGGAUAGAAUAAGCUAAUGCAUCAAAAAACAUAUAGAUAAGCAUCCAAUUCAUCUUUAUUUGCAAGUGUGUUGCAUUGCUGUGUAGCUUUCGUGUAGAGGCUAGGGAGUUGAAAGAAACAGAGUGGAGGAAAAGAUUUUGCGUUUGGGUAUGACUUAGUCAAUCUUGGGAGCUGUAACUACUUUACUCGGAAGCAAUUUAUUACAGUAGAAAAGAAUCUUCCCCGAAUAUCACAUAUGUAAUAUAAGAAAAUUUAAUAAUAAUAAUAAAAGGAGGCAUUUUAUUUUUAUCAUUCCAUGUUGAGAGGAUUAGAGGAACUUGGGAAAAAUUUCCAAUUUAACUUAUACAAGACAUUUACUAUUACACAUCAUUUAAAUAUACACAACACUCGAAUAUGCGAAAGGAUCUGUAUAUAUCAAGAUAUUUUACGAAAUAUAUGCAUGCAGUUGAGUUCAUGCAUUGGCAGACGAAAGAAAAAUGUACAACCUUCAUGAGAAAGGGCUAGACCGUCGGCUAGUAAACAUAAAUUGAGUACAAACGAUGAUCAACACACCUGAGAAGUACCGAUAGAUGAAGAAGAACAAGCCAGGGAUAAUGAAAACCAUAACUACUAGCGCUUUGGCCUUUGGCAUUAUAUAGCACUAAAUAUGUGCCUGUAAGAAAUGCUAACACCAAAUUAACAAGCAAUAAAGUAUUAGUCCUAGGCUCAGUUGCCAUUGUCAAUGCUCCAUACUCUUCGUCUCCAACCUUGACAAGUAAGUAAGGUGGAUGAACACGGCACUUGUGGACAAAGUCAUGGCUAUCAAAUUGAGCGUAAUAAAUGCUAGCCUGUAAAGCAUUGCUUGACGCUUCUAGUUAGAACUGCGGCACCCCUAGUCUGGACUCUGGACUCUAGACCCAUUUCAUUAUUGUAACCAGCAGGCAUAGUAAUACUUGUGGUAAAAGUAACAGUUGCUACAAGUGCAACAAUUUCUAUACAGGAAUCCUUUGCUUCCUCGACAUGUCGCUCUAAGAUAUUGUCUAACUUUUCUUCUCUAUUGUUCCUCUGCUUCUUCUCUUUUGUAUUAUUAUUACCUUGAUCAAUUCUUUCCCAUCUCCACGGACUACAUGUCGCCGGCACGAGAUCCAAUUUAGUCUAAUCAAGCACCAUGGAAAAAAUCCCAACUACAACAAUAUACAUAUGUGGUACAUUUUGAGAGAAUUAUAAACAUUAACACUUAAUUAAUUUCCUAAAAUUUGGGAAUAUUUGAACUUGUAAUAGGUUAUGACAAUCAAACCAUGGUAUGAAAUAAGAAAUCCACAUUUUUUAUAUGGUUAAUACUUUUUUCCACAAAUUUCUUCGGGUUUGCUUAUGGCAAAACAAAAAAAAGGCUGAAGAUGAAGGGGAGGACUUAUAGAAAUUCAGACUAUAUAAAUUCUCACACAUAGAACAACCCCCAACGUACAAAAUAUACACAACAGUAAAAGGUAUAAAUAAUUCUCUGAAUUAAUUAAUUGUAUCAUAUUCAAAUUUAAGAGCAUAAAGCCUAAAGCGUUGUAUCCUCUGUUCUGUUGUUGUACCCAAUAAAGGGCUCAAUAUCCUUUGUUCUGUUGUUGUACACAACAAAGGGCUCUUCCCCGAAAAAGCCAAUGAACUCUAGGAAAGCAAAUUCCUUGGAUCUCCUCUAAAAAAUUCAUUAACAUCUCGUCACAAUGUUUUCACCAGUCUUUUUAAACAAUAAAAAGGUCCAAAUAAAUUGUAAAUCAAGAAGAAGCAACUUUGGCGAUAUUCAAUACUAAAUAUGUGCCUGUUAAAAAUGUCAACACCAUUGUAACACGGUAAAAAUUAUCAUUACUUGGCUUAGUUUCUAUAGUAAAAAUUUCAUACUCUUGUUUCGCAACCGUGAUAUAUAAAUGUGGAUGAAGAUGGCACCUGUGGACAAAAUCAUGGCUACCGAAUUAAAUAUAACAAAUGCUUAGAAACCUCUGCUUUUGAUUAGAACUGUGGUACCCUAGUUUGGACCAUUGCCACCAUUUUUGUUGCUACAAACAGAUGCUCAGCAAAGAAGAGAUGGAAAUGGAAUCUUCCCAUAUCCAGGCUUGACAAAACACUCAUCAAUUUCAUCAGUUCAAAAACUUUAUUUUUUAUACUAAUUAGAUUGAGUAGAAGAACAGCAAAGACACUUCCCCCAAGUUGGUGCAAUAUGCUCUAAUCACUAAUCAUUUCAUCACUAAUCCUUUUGUUUAAAUAAAGUGAUUUAUCUGUAUUCUCUAGCUCUUCUUUCUUAUCAAAUCAAAUUAAAAUUAGAAAAAAAACAAGUGUGAAAAUUCAAACACAUUACUUUUGAAUAGAGAUGGCAAUUGGUUAGCUCAAGCUUGGACUUGGCUAAACCAAAGUCUGGCCUUAUUAUUAAAAUUGAAAGACUAACUUGAAAAAAGUCUAACAAUUUGUAUUUUGCAUCGAGUAGGUUGGGCCCAACCCAAAUCAGGCUAGAGGCAGGUCAAGCUUUUCUAAAGCCCGCACAAUGUUUUCUCUCUCACUUUAAAUAUUUUGCUUUAUUUUGUCUGAUUUUGCUUUACUUUGUCCAAUUUUGCUUUGUUGGUCAAUAAUGCAAAACCAAUUUGCUUUGUUCUAGGAUCAUUAUAUGUUCAUAAUUUUUCAUUAAAAAAAAAACCAAUGUCUUAUCCAAAUAAAAACAUACAAUUCCACAACUGAACAUUAAAACAAAAUCCAUAAUUUUUCUCAUUUGCAUUGCACCCAAAAUUACUCUUUUAUAUAUGCAUGCAAAUAUAUAUAUCUUCCAUAAAACUAAAAAUUCAUAAUUUUUCUUUUUUUUUUUCAAUUUAGGGUGGGAUCGUCAACCCGACCCUAACCUAAAUUUUGAUUGGGCUUUAUUUUUUGGCCCAAGCCCGUCUUGAAUCUUGAAAAUUCGGGCCAAAAAUCUAAAAAAUAUAAGUCGAGUCAAUCGAGCUAAAAUUUGGUUUGAGUCAAAUUGUCAUCCCUACUUUUAAACAUGAAUAGAGCUACAUAGUUUCAAGGAAAAGGCACAGGUGGUCAUGAACAACCUUAAAAUUUUUGUUGCUACCCAUAACUACCCACACAUUCAGGAUAAGCUUUAAGACCAAGAAAUGUUCCUAACAUGGACUUGACUGCUAAAGUUCUUAUCACAAACCAAAUUCUAUUGUCUAUUGUAUAGACAUCAAACAAUUCGCAGGAUUAAUGUGGAUUUCUAUCUGCUAUCAUCUCUUCUUUCUCAUCAAGUCUAAUUAAAAUUAGAAAAAACAAGCAUGAAAGUUUAAACAUAUUACUUUUGAAUAUAGACACAGCUAAAUGGUUUCAAGAAAAAUGCAUUGGUAGUCAUGAACAACCUUAAAAUUCUUUUAGCUACCUAUAGCUACCCCCACAUUCAAAAUAAGGUUUAAGACCAAAAAAUGUUUCUAGCAUAGACUUACAUGCUAAAGUUCUUAUUAGAAACCAAUUUCUAUUGUCAAUAUAUCAAAGAAUUCCAAUUAUUAAUAUGGAUUUCCACAUUGACAGAGUAACACAGUUUCAAAGAAAAUGCACCAACAGUCAUGAACAACCUCAAAAUUCUUUCUACCGCCCAUAGUUACAUAGACAUUUAAGAUAAGCUUUAAGACCAAGAAAUGUUCCCAAAAUAAAAUUACUUGCUAAAGUUCUAAUCACAAACUAACUUCUAUUGUCUACAUAUCAAACAAUUCAUGGAAUUGAAGAAAACCAAGAUCGAAGAUUUUGAAUCCUCAGCUCAGCAUCUUGUCACCGGCUGCUCGAAUUUUCUAAUAAAGGAGGCUAAAUUGGUGACUCUAGGUGCACUAAAAGGCAAGUCAAAAUGCACUAAGUAACAGCUUGCCUAAAUUUUCAAGUAUGUCAACCCAAAUUCAAGCCAAGUGUGCUAGCUUGGCCCAAUUAUAGAAUGUUCUAAUAUAAUUUAGCACAUACUUGUACAUGUCUAGAACUUUUUAUACUUGUAAAUAUCUAGAUAUAUUGAUAAAAUGUGCAAGUUGUAUGGAAUUAUCUAAAACUUGUGAAACCUUCCUACAAAUAAGGUAUGACACUUACUAUUUUACACAUACAACACACUAAGCAACUCAAGUAUACUUGUGAGUUCUCAAGCUCUCUUAUACUUUUUCUUUUGAGUAAAAAAAAAUUUUUUUGGCUACAUUGCUCUCUCUUCUCUAUAACUUUUGUAAUCAUCUUUACUUACCUAGUUUGAUAAAUUCGAUAGGUUUACUUAGUAACUUUUAUGCUAGAAGUUGUCUAAGUAUUAUACCGAUUGCUGCAAAACAUACUCAUCUCGUGAUAAUGUACCUCCAUUUUAGACAAUAUCUUAUGCUCCACUUACUCAAUCGGGAUUUUAUUAGAUCUUAAAAUAGAACGAACAAAAAUUGAAUACUCACCGACCACACCUUCUAGCCAUUAAAAAUCUAUACUAGACAAGACAUAUUUGUUUAGAGUGAACCAUGUGGAAGACACAAGUACGAGAACCAUCGGCAUCAAAGGGCUUGCCAGGCUUAGUGUCGAGAAAUGCAUAACCUCUAAUCUGACACUUCUUGCGCUAACAAUUAACAAUUCAUGAUUAACAAAUCAAGAUCAGUAAAUAGUAAACAGAACAACAAAUUUUCAAUAAGUCUACAUGAUCACAAUAGAAAAGUAAACUCCAAACAACUCUGAACAAAUGAGCAAAUUUUCAAUAGUCUGUCCAAAUUUUCAAGUAUGUGAACCCAAAUCAAAGCCAAGUGUGCUAGUUUGGCCUGAUUCUAGAAUUUUUUUAUAUAAUUUAGCACAUCUCAUCAACUUGUACAUGUCUAGAAUUUUUUACACUUGAAAAUAUCUAGAUAUGUUGAUAAGUUGUGCAAGUUGCAUGAAAUUAUCUAAAAUUUGUGAAGCCUUCUUAUAAAUAAGGCAUGACACUUACUAUUUUACACAUACAACACACUAAGCAACUCAAGUAUACUUGUAAGUUCUCAAGCUCACUUGUACUUUUUCUUUUGGGUAGUAAAAUUCGUUUUGGCUAGAUUUCUCUCUACUCUAAUGCUCUUUUGUAAUCAUCUUUACUUACCUGAUUUGAGAAAUUUGAUAGGUUUACUUAGUACUUUUUAUGCUAGAAAUUGUCUAAGUGUUGUACCGAUUGUUCCACAACAUACUCAUCCCGUGAUAACUUGCCUCCAUUUUAAACCAUAUCUCAUGCUCCGCUUAGUCAAUAGGGAUUUUAUUAAAUCCCAAAAUGGAACAAACAAAUAUUAAAUAUUCACCGACCACACUUUCCAGCCAUUGGAAAAUUUAUAGUAGACGUGAUGUAUUUGUUUAGAGUGAACCAUGUGGAAGACACAAGUACGAGAACCAUUGGCAUCAAAGGGCUGGCCAGGCUUAGUGUCGGGAAAUGCAUAACCUCCGAUCUGACACUUCUCGCGCCAACAAUUAACAAUUCAUGAUUAACAAAUCAAGAUCAGUAAAUAGUAAACAAAACAACAAAUUUUCAAUAAGUCUACAUGAUCACAAUAGAAAAGUAAACUCCAAACAACUCUGAACAAAUGAGCAAAUAACUUAAAAGACUACAUACAUACAAAGAAUUAAGGUAGAACCUAGCUUGCCAAUUAGUUACGAAUACUAGCUUUUAUGUUAUUUAUAAUUGACCAAAAUGAAAUAACUCAAAUUUGAAUAAGUUUAUAUGGAAAUAUUUGGGAACGGGUAUUAGCAUCAUGUUUAAAUGAGAAUAUGUCUUUCACUAAGUCUAGAUUCAGCAAACCAUUUGAAUAUAUUUGCAAAAUAAUAAUAAUAAACGUAGAAGUUAGAUAUGAAAUUAAUAAUAUGCAGAGAACUUGGUCCUAUAUAUGUAGCUUUAGACUAUAAGAUAAAAAAGGAAAGUUCGUCAAACUAACUAGAAAUUUAGACAAUAAUAGAUCAAAAUUGAGCCUUAAAUUGAUAUGAACCUGAAGACAAAAUACAAUUUUAUUAAUAAAAGUUAUCAAAAUCAUUUUCACAUCUAUCAAUCAACAACAUGCCAUCGUUGACGCAAAUAUCGGUGUAAUCCUCAUGAAGUCGUAUUUAGGGCAACCAAACUAGAUAAUAAUAAUAAAAAGCAAAUAAAUAGUCUAAUAAUAAUAAUAUAAAACAAAAAUACAUAAAAUUAAGAACAUACCGGAAUUUGAUGCUUCGUGUCUUUUGAUUAGGCAUCACCUAUUGGUUGAAUGCGAUGUAACUCAACGAGAAUACCCCAGAUGUAGAGGGCACUCUUGGUUGUUUCUAGCAACUAUGAGUCUCUGAUAGAAUUUGUAGUAUAGAGUGUUUAAGAAAUGAGAAAGUGAAAGAAAACAUAGAGAAUUUAGAGAAGUUUGCUGUGUAAUCUGGAAAAAUUAAAACCAACUAUUUAGACUAUAAGUAUAUGUAUACAUGUAUUGGAUAGCUAUCUAAAGUGUUACAAUUGUAAAGUAUGUAAAGUUAAAUCUAACUAAUUACCAAGUAGGUUGUAAUCAACUGUGUGCUUAUCACAUUCACUAACAUCCUAUUAAGAAUGUUAACUGUCCGAUCUUCACUCGAAAUAAAAGAAAUAACAAUUUGUUUAGCAACUACUUUCUCUAAAUAAAUCGUAUACCAAUCUCUACAUGCUUUACAGUUUUCAAUUUAGUGUCGCCUACUGGUUAAAUGUUAUGUAACCCAACGAGAAUAUCCUAAAUGUAUAGGGUAGUCUUGGCCAUUUUUUGCAAAUUUGAGUCUCAAAUUAAGAGUGUAAGUGAGUGAAACUGUCAAAUUGAGUGAUAAGAAGCUAAAAAUAUAAAGAAAAGCUUAGAGUCAUGUGGUUUGAAGGAUACCCUUAAUUUUAUAUUUAUUUUAUUCCGCCAAAAAUUUUAAAUGCCUAGAGUUUUGGUUUUUAGAGUUUUUGGCAUCCUCUUAUGGGCCUUUAAAUAUUUUAAAUUUAGGCUAAGGGUAUUUAAUGCUUCCUAGUCCAAAGCCCCUUCCAGCACUUAAGUUUUGCCCAACCUAAAGCACAUUAUGAAAUCUUGACUAAUUUUUAUUAGCACUGGAUUCACACAAUUAUCCUUCUUAUAAUUUAAAAAGAACUACUUGUAUUUUAAAUAUUCUAUUAUUUUUUAUUAAAUUUAAAAUUUUAAGUUUCUGUAUAUUUUCUAAAAUACUUUAACUUAAACCAUCUAACUUAGUUUACUCAAAACAUUAAAAAAAAUAUUUAGCUCAAAUCACAAAUAAAUUUGAAAUCUGGCAUAUGCUUAAGUAAAAUGAAAACAGGUCAAAUCGUAUACAAAGUUUUUAACAACAUUUUGGUGGUGGUUGUUGUUGUUGUUGUUGUUGUUGUUAUUAUUAUAUAUAGUAGUUUUCUGGUCAUGAAUUUUAAAGUGCGGGAAAGUCAUGGCAAGCUUUAAAAUCACACGGCUUUAAAGGUUUUUUGUGGUUUUAAAGGUUUCCCGCACUUUCUCGUACUUUAAAAUUCAUAACUGAAACAUUUCUCUCUCUCUCUCUCUCUCUCUCUCUCUCUCUCUCUCUCUCUCUCUCUCUAUAUAUAUAUAUAUAUAUAUAUAUAUAUAUAUAUAUAUAUAUAUUCAUUCCAAAUUCUUUAAUAUCAAGAAUUAUACAUUUUUCUUUGCCAUCCGGUUGUAAUAAAAAAAAAUGGCCAUCUCACAGAAGAAGAAGCAGAAGACUACGUUAGAAGAUGCUACCACUAGAUAUGCUCUAGUUGAUUUGGCUUCAACUUUAGCAAUACUUUGAUUUAAUUUUAUUUUUUGAAACAUAAAAGGUCUAACAUAUUUUGUAGUUUAAAUAUUUUAAAAUAUUAUUUAUUAAACAUCUAAAGCUUGAAUUUUUAUUAAUUUUAAAUUUUAAAACAUUUACUUGUUUACUUUUUGUAACUUAUGUUUAAUUUUCAUAUACUUACAUUUGAAUUAAAAAUAAAGUAAACUUUGUGACUUUUAUCUAAAUAAGAAGUAGAUGUUAUAUUAAAAAAAUAACUUUAUUAAAUAUACUUAUUUCAUAAAUUAUAAAAACCUAUUUUUUUAUUUAUAGGACAUAAAUAUCAAAUAACUAUAUUUAACAUAUUUAAGAUGUAAAAAAUAGAAUUAUAAGUUAAAUAAAAAGUGUGCUAUAUGAGUGCUAAAAAUAAUUAUUUAAUAUUAACUUAAAAAAAAUUAUCCUUAAUAGUAAUUUAAAUUAUGAAUAUUUUUGUAAUAAAUUAUUUUGUUAAAAUAAUAGUAUUUAAAGCAAUUAUUAAAAUACAAAUAUUCCCACUAAUAAGAAAUAAACAAAAUUUAAAGUAAUUAUUAAAAUACAAAUAGGCCCACUGAUAAAAAAUAAACAAAAGAGAUAAAAGCUAAAAUAUAUCAUUAUCUCUAAAAAAGAAAAAAAAAACAAAUCCUAAAUCCCCAUUGUCAAAAGAUGAAAUAUAUCAUUAUCUCUAAAAAAGAAAAAAAAAAAAAACAAAUCCUAAAUCCCCAUUGUCAAAAGAUGGGAGCGUGUCAUGCUCUCAUGAGAAGAGCGGUGAGGUUCUUGGCAUGUGGGCUGUCACUCUCCAUAAGAAGAGCGACUACGCCUGCAAGAUCAAAACUCAUCAAAAGACUUACAUCUUCUUCCUUCCUCACUGAUUUGAAGUAGGUUAGGAUAUUAUUUUUUGAAUUAAUAAUGUUAUAUGAAUUUGAUUGAUAAUGCAUUGUGCAAUAUUUGAAAUUAAUAAGACAAAAGGUUGUUUAUGACUUAAGUUGAUUAAUUGGAGUUAACAAUAAGCUAUUAGUUGCAUUUUUUAUGGAUAUUCUUAUGAACCAAACAAAAAGUUUGAUGAUUUAUACAGCAAACAAUUUCCGGUAUAUAUAUUGCUCAAGUGGAAUUCUAAAAUAGCAUUUAAUUUUUAAGAUGCUAACCCACUCAAACAGGAAAAGUACUCGAAAAAAAUAAACGUUGUUCAUGUAAUUGUGCUCGUGCUCUUGACUGAUUUUACCUUCCAAUGUUUCCAUUUCAAGCUCUUAAAGAUGAAUACAAAGACACAUAAAAAAUUGCAGAAGCAUACUUGAUCAACUAUAAUAUAUAUAUAUAUAUAUAUAUAUAUAUAUAUAUAUAGUCAUUCUCUAGUAUAGUCGUUCUCAUUUAUUUUUCAUGCAAACACACUUUAAAACUAUAUGAUUUAAAAGAAUUAGUUUUUAACUCUUUAAAACCGCACGGUUUAAAGUAUGUCCGCAUUAAAAAAAAAAAUAUAGGCGUCCACACUUGAAAAUAAUUAUAUGUAUAUAUAAAUCAAGCAAAAAAAAAAAAAAAACCACCCUACAUUCAGCCAAAUGAGAAGAGAGAAUUUUUUGUAUUCUAUUUCAUAAUUUUUAUUUUAAUUAAAAAUAAAAAUCCCCAAACCCGAACCCAAAAUUUUAUUAGCUCUUAAGCCUAUCCCCGAAAUAGCCCUAAUUUCAUUUUUUAGACAUUUUAGGACCCACAACCGACCCAAAUUUAUCGGGAGUCCGCUGGCUCAGGGAUCCGUGGAAAAUAUUGCCAUCCCUAUUUUUUUCUCCCCCUCCAAAAUGGAGAUCGGAGAUGGCUACAGGCUGCUAAGUGCUAACCAAUUUAUACAUGAAGAUGGGUUACAUGCACAUACGGUGAUACGGGGUUCAGUCCUAUAAGAAAUUUCAUCAUCAUCAAGUAAAUUAAAUAGUAAUUUUCUAAAUAUGUGUUGAUUAUACUGAUCAGCUGUUUUGACAUAUUAAUGAUAAAAAGGAAUUAUAAAAUUAGUAUAUAUUUUUUUAUUAACAUUGUAACAUUGUAUCAUUUUUAUUCUUAUUCUUGUCGCCAUUGUUUCAUCUUUUUCUUUCUAAAGUUUUGCUGAUUAAAGAAUUAAUUAAUGACUCGUCGGACUGUCCAUUUUCUAAAUGAAAAGGGGUAGACCAUAUUUACUAAAAAAUGCAUAGGCACUUUCGUUGAAAGAGUACAAUUUGAGCAAAAUAUACUGUUCCAUACAUGGGCACAUGGCUUAGAGAGCAUGUCCACAGUCAAAUUUACUUCAUCAGUUUUGUUUCAUUAACCCCUUACCAUUAAAUUCAUACGACCAAGCUUCAUUAGUUGAUAGUUGAAAUUGUCCUAAUGUACACACAUAUUGCUUGUGCCUAAAGCAUAUUGUUGAGGAUCUGCUAGAUUUAAUAUCUUCCACAAUUUUUUUAAUUUCUUUAUUUCUUAAAAGAUCUGAAUUUGGAUGAUCGGCUAAAUAUGUUUGAAAAUCAUUCAACUAGCAUAGGCCUGUUCCAUUUAAGAGCUUAAGAAAACUGUACCUCUUUUACAUGCUCCAAAAAACCACUCGGUAACAUAUAAUUUCUAAAAAUUAAUAUUUGAUGAAUUAAUAAUCUCCAUUACACAUCAAUUAUUUAUAAUCCCAACUUGGGCUAAUAGGUUAAAUUAAUAUGAUAAUAGUUGUUUUGAAAUCCCUUGCAUAUAUGUUUCAUUGAAUUGUAUAAACACUCAAUAAGUCGACAAUUAAUUAAUUCUUCUUUAAAUUAAUAGAUUUUAUAUGAUAAUGACAUUAUUAACUUACAGAGGAUUUACCGUUUUGGUAUUAGGUAGAGUCUUCACUUACCCUAAUUAUUACUCAAUUAUUAGGAAACACACAAAACUUUCGUUGGAAAGAAUUACAUAUAGUCUCCUGCCUUGGCAUUUCGUAAUAAGUUGUUCCUAGAUAAGCACACUGUUACUAUUAUAUUUAACAAGUUUUCCUACAUACGUAGUAAGAAAAUAUAAAUUGAAUAUACGGUUUAAAAAGUUGUUAUCCAAGAAAAAAAAAAUGUUACUAAUAAGGAGAAAAGAGUGCUGAUGAUUAUAGCUGCACCUUGUAAUUUUACAAGUAUAUAUUUUAUCUUAAAUGAUAUGUCAUUUAUUAAUCAAUUAUUUUUUUCAUAAAUUUCAACUGAAUUAGUUAUAUUAUUUCACGGUCACUUUUUUCUUUUAAAUUAUAUCAUUAUUUUACGUGUUUUAUUCUGAUGAAUGACACAUUAUUUACAAAAUUUAAGAUAAAAUCUUAAGAUAUCUACCACUGCUUUUAAUUUGAUUGAAAGUUUUAUUUUCAUUCACUUGUAAGAAUUUUCAAAUAGUUGAUACUACAAAUUACCUUCAAGAUAAAAUAAAAUUAGAACAAUACUAGAUGUCCAAACAUUUAAUUCUCAAUUUAAAUUCCAAUUGAUAUAACAUUCAUCCAUUAGAUAGUGGUUACAAGUUUCAAGGAUGAUGAGUUGUGAUUCAAAUGUUGGCGAUUCUUAAUAUUAUUAAUAAAGCUAAUUUUUGGGUAAAAUUUUAAGAAAAGUAAUAUAAUUAAUGAGAAUUAAAAAAAUAUAGGCCACGUGGCAUUCUAUACAAUAAUAACUCUAGUAAUAGCUACUCAAAAUAAUUAAGGCCUACGCAAACUGGCACAACCUUGAUUACCUCUAUUCCCAUAGAUUUAAAAUUACCAAUACAUCUUAAAGCCGUUGGGUGUUUUCCGGGCAUAUUUCCAUUUUUCUGUUUUCAUGUAAUCAAAUUUAUCACAUAUGCUCCUGCUCUUUCAUGUUUCAUUUUACAUCAGAUGAACAGAUUUAUGUAAGUUCUCUUCUCGCACGCCCUCUCACACGCCGGACACUCACACACACACACAUAUGCAGCGCACACAAAAUUUACGCAAAUAGACUGCAUCCUGAGAUCAGCUAAUGUUUGCAAGCAUCACUGUUUGAGUUGUAAUUUCAAAAAAUGUGUUCAACAACCACCACCAAAAUAAGAGAGGGGUUGGGGGCAGGGCUGGGUCGGUUUCAACUGUUGAUCUGACUCAGAGGACAAUUAUUAGGUUAGUGAUAGGGGUAGGCAAAAAAACCGUAGUCUUAAAAAAACCGAACCGAACCGACGGUUUUUUCUAAUUCGGUUUGGUUUUUAUUUUUUAAAAAAACCGAAUAUACCAUUUGUAAAAAAAAAACCGAAAUGUCGGUUUGGUAUUCGGUUCACUUAGCUGAACCGAAAAACCGAACCGAAAAACCAAAUUAUUUUUUGAUUUUAUUCAAAUCAAACAUGUGUUAUUUCUCUUUAUAACAUUAUGAUUAUGUUUAUAUAGAUGGAGUAUUGGAGUUUGGUUAUGUAUUUUGAAAUUUUAAUAUUUCAUAUAUUUGGGAAUAUCUUAUUAAUAGUUAGUAAGAUAUUAGUGAUAAAAUGUGUUUUGAAUUCUUUGUAUUUAUUGUUAAUAUUUGUAAUAAAAUUAUGAUAAAUUAAUUAUUGAAAAAAAUUAUUACAUUCAUGAGGCCCAAUGGGCUAAAAAUUUAAAAAUUCAAAAUAGGCCCAGAACCGAAAAAAUCGAACCGAACCGAACCGAUCCAAAAAGAACCGUUUGAGUUCGGUUCUUAUUGAGUUUGGUUCUUAUUCGGUUCUUUUUAUAAAAUAACCGAUUUAAAUCGAUUCUACUUAAUUUCGAACCGAACCGAACCGAACCGUGCCCACCCCUAGUUAGUGAUUAUGAUACUAGUUCUUACCAGAAAACAGAAGAGGAUUGUUGUAAGUGCUGGUGAGUGUUAGAUUUAUAAUCUGUUUGUCCACAAUUACCACAGCAUCUGAGAAAACUCUGCUCUAAGCUAAAUUAAAGGUGUCAUCACCGUGAUUCCUCAUCAAGAGAAAUAUGAGAUAUUGAACAUGACUAUCAGAAUCUACUGUCCCAUGGUCAACAAGACAGUUACAAGACUAUCUGAAUUUACAGUCUCAUGUCUAAGUAACUUGUAAGUCAUGGAUCAAUGUUGGAGCUCUAUAGCAAGUCAUUUACUAAAAAUAAGCAUAAAGUAACUCCUGACUGCACAAAGGGUAACAGAAAGGAGAAUGUAUAACCCUGUAUACCUAGUAUUGCAAGCAGUGAUCAUUGCAGGUUGUUGGUUGACAAGAAUUACAAGCAGUGAUCAUUGCAGGGACAACUUGGCAAGGGUCAAUGCUAAUACCUUUACCCCAUUUUCCAUGUCAUGGCCAGAGGCAUAUUCCUCAGGCUUGUGGCUAUAACCUGCAAAAUCAAAUGUAUGAAAACAUGCAUUAGUCUGGUUCUAUGCUCUAGUUCCCUCAUAAAAUAAGAAGAUGAUUAGAUAGAUUACAAAUGCUAGAGGUCCUCAUUUUGACUAGAUAAAGUCCCCUGCUAAGUUGACACCAUUCGAGAAUGGGUAUGUGCCCUGCUACUUGUACAAGCGUACAUUUUCUAAUUCACAUCAUGUGAUUUUAGUGUGCUUCCACACAAGAUUUGUUUCAUGUGCACAUAAUUCAAAAGCAAAAGAAGCACCAGCACCAAAGCAGUACCUAAAAAUUUUUAUUGAUGAAAUCCAACUAGAUAAUUAUAGUCAUUCCGAAUAUUUCAACAUUCAACUUAAUAAUCAGAGAUGAAGGGUUUAGAUUUCUAGAUACAGAAGAAAAGAAAUGUGUUCAUACCUUUGAAACAUGGAGUGAAUAUCAUGCCCAUUGGCGAUACCCUGCAAGGAUGUGAACCUAUAAUUAGAUGUUGCUAGCAAGAAGAACAAUAAGAGUAAAUAUGCAUUCACCAUCUAAAACAUCCUUAAGCAGGUUAAGUGAACAGUAAUAAUAAGAUAGCUAAUUCAUAGUAAAGCAUCUAAAAAUAAGGAUACAUUUCAUAUUUGUGUGCAAGUUUGGUGCUGUGUAUUGUUUGUGAAAAAGCUUGGGAGUUGGAAGAAACAGAUUGGAUGUGAAACUUUUGAAAAUUUGGGUGCCAGUCACUCAAAUCACGGGGAUUUCAGCGAAUUUUCAGCAGUAAAUUACUGCCAAAAAGUACCCACUCCCAGUUUUCACCUCGGAAAAUUUUCUUCACCUGCAUUCCCAUGUUGGUAUCUUGAAUCAUUAGAUUUUAUCAUUUUCCUCCUCUUUCAAAAAAGGACCGGGCAGGGGGGGGGGGGGGGGGGGGGGGAGAGAGUAAAAUCUUCAUAUUAAGAAACAUGGCACUUGGAGAGCCCAAAAUAGUGGGACAUAUAGCAUGGUACUGGACAAGGUACAAAUAUUAACUCUUUCUCUCUAUCUAUACCUGGCCAUAAAGAGUGAAUCAUGGUAAGCUCUGCUUAUCAUAAACUUAUGUGUUAAAUUAAGUUCUUUUGACGCUGCUUCCACUGCCUCAAUUAUUGAUUUCUCAGAAAGUGCUGGUGGAUCCUGAUUUACGAUUUUGAAUUCAGAUAGAGUGACCCCACGAUUUUUAGCAAUUGUAAUUGCAGACUGAUGGAUUUUUUCAAUCACACUAUUUCUUCGCUUUUCAUCAAUGUCUCGUGUGUCUGCCGAAACACAGAUAAUAGAAAACUCAAUAAAUAACAAAGAAAAACUUCAGAAAUCAACUGGAAUUAAAUCAAACUUUGGGAGAAGAAGAAUGCCAAUAACAUGAUUUUAAAACAAACUUCAGGAACUUAAUACUCAUCUCAUGCAAAGUAUUUAUGUUAUAAAAUUGUUGGCCAGUUUUCCAGUAAGACUUGAACAACUGAUUGGAAACAUACCAAUUUCUAAGUGUGACUUGCUUGGUAUGCUGUUGAUU
rnacentral:lncRNA from 1 species